AUUGGCUUUAAAAAUUAAAAAUAUAUAUAUAAAUUUACUCUUAUUCCCAUUAUUUAAAUCUAAUCAUUCAAACGUUAUCUUUUUAUUCUUGAAAAUAAUUCAAAAAUAAUUCAAUUCUCAUCCAAACGUAAAGUUGAUCUAAUUCCUAUAAACUCUGACAUUGUUCAUGUAUCAGGAAUAAGCAAGAAAAACUUAUUUCUAAACUAAACGAUACUUUAAGUUUUGGAAACCUCCCCCCCAAUCUGUUUCAUACUUUCUCACUUUAGUACCCUAUAGUUUAAAAUAUAUCAAGUUAGCCCCCGUACUUUCUCACUUUAGUACCCUGUGGUUUAAAGUGUAUCAAGUUAAUACCCUGUGGUUUCAUUUUUAUCUUGUGAAUAUUUGAUAAACCUAGGUAGGGUAUCGGAAGUUUUUUGUAUAUAAUUUAACGAAAUAUUAACACAGGGGCCGACGAAAAGAGAAAAAUGAAGCCACAGAGUGCUAAAUUGAUGCACUUUAAACCACAAGGUACUAAAUUGAUACACUUUAAACUACAGAGUAUUAAAAUGAAAAAGUGCGAAACCACAUGGGUGGUAUUUGAAGUUUUCCCUUAAAAUAUUAUAUGGAGUUCAAUUUAAUAAAAUCUCACUAAUGAUAUUUGCUUUAAAAGAAAAAAAAGGUGAAAAUAACAUAGAGUAGUGAAAAAGAGACAUGCAAGAAACAAACCAUCCAUAAUUCCAUAUUUACAAUGGGAAAUAGUAGUAGUAGUAGUACACUUUAAUAAAAGAAGAGUAAAGAUCUUUACUCUUUAUACUAGGAUUUAAUUUUUUUUUAAAAAAAUUAGUAUUAAAAAAAUAAUUUGAUAAGAUAAUGACCAAAUAUGCCUUCUUAGAUAAUAAAAAAAGUACAAAAUUUAUAUAUCCUUUCUUCUGUGCAAACUUAGGUUACCCCUUGUUGUUUUGCGCACUUUUAAUUAACCAAAGGGCUUUUUUUGCAAAUAGCCCCAUAAAAAAUUUUAUUUUCGAAAAUAGCCCUAUGUAAAAAUUAUUUGCAAAAAUGGCCCUGACCCCGCCCCGUCAGCGCCACGUCAGCGCCACGCGGGCGGGGCUGGGCCAAUUGUAUAAGUUGAACACGGUGAACCAUUCACCGUGUUCAAUACAAGAUUUUUGUAUUGGACACGGUGAAUGGUUCACCGUGUCCAAUACAAAUACAUCCGACUUAGCCAAAAAUAGCUAAGUUGCGGGUGUUUGUAUUGGACACGGUGAACCAUUCACCGUGUCCAAUUAUUUGUAUUGGACACGGUGAUUCACCGUGUCCAAUACAAAUAUAUCCCACUUAGCCAUUUUGUAUUGGACACGGUGAACCAUUCACCGUGUCCAAUACAAAAAUUUUGUAUUGAACACGGUGAAUGGUUCACCGUGUUCAAUAUAAACACUUGGCCCAGCCCCGCCCGCGUGGCGCUGACGUGGCGCUGACGGGGCGGGGCCAGAACCAUUUUUACAAAUAAUUUUUACACAGGGCCAAUUUUAAAAAAAAAAAUUGUCAGGGGGCUAUUUGCAAAAAAACCCCUUAACCAAACUAUAUAAUUUUAAAAAAUAUAUAUUUAACUAUUCUAUAAUCUAAUUUUUAUUUUACUAUAAUAGUAAGAAAUUAAGAAUCCAUUAUUAUCUCUAUUUCUAUUACAUUAAAGGAGGGUUGGGAGAACCUUAGGUUGACACCGGUCCCCCAACCCUCCACUUCAUUCUCUCUCUCCAAACACACACAUAUAAAUAUAUAUAUAUAAUUAAUUUUAUUAAUAAAUUGUAUAAUAGCUUAUUAGUAAUUAAAUUUUGAUAUAAAAAUUUAAAGUUUUGAUACUUUCAAAUUUUAAAAUUUUAAAAUUUUAAAUUCUAAAUUUUAAUUUUAACUUAUAAUAUUCAUAAUUUUAAUUUUAAAUUCCAAAUUAUAAUAAUUAAUUAAAUUAUAAUAUAAUUAAUUAAUUUUAUUAAUAAUACGCAUAAUAAAUCACGUAAUAAAAUCUAAUCUGAUAGAUACAAUUUAAAUCACGUAAAAUAUCGUUGUAUAAAAAAAAUAUAAUAUUUAAAUUUUAGGAGUAAAAUUUUAGAAAUAUAGUGUAUUUCUGUGUAUAUAUAAUUAAUUUUAUUAAACAAUUUCAUUUACAAUUUUAUUUUCCUUCUAUUUAUUGAUUUUUUAAAAUUAUUUUGAUAGAUUUAUCUCAAAUCCUUUUCAUAUGUAUCUUUAUAAAAUAAAUUAUUAUAUAAAUUUACUUUGCGCAUAUAUCAAUUUUAAUGACUUUUAUUUAAAUAGAUUUAACUACUAAAUUAUUUUUAUAUAAUUUUUGUUUAAUUAAUAAUUAGACUUAUAAAACUAUAUAAAAAUAUUAAAAAAAAUAAAAUUUAUUAUAAAAAAUUUUUAUAUCCGCAGCAUCGCGCGGGUAAUUCACUAGUGCCACAUAAAAAUACGGGCGCCAGGUCAUGCUGUCUAAAAUAUAUAGAACGAUAAAAUAUUAAUUAUAGGAUCACAAAAGAAAAAACUAUUUAUACACUUCGACUUGGGUGUAUAAGUUGCACCCACCUAUUUAAUGAACGAGAGUUACUUACUAGUCAUAUUAAGGCUUAGUUUUGUAUUAAGGCUUAUCUUAUAUUUUUAUAUAAAACAGAGUUGAAAUAAGCAUAUAUAUAGAAAUAUGCUUCUACGUUCUCUAGUGGGACUGUAGAAAAUAUAUCGUAACUGACUCAUCGCGAUAAAAGGAACGCAAUAUUACGUACCAAAACAAACAGAAUAUUUUUUCAUCGUACUUUCUUACCGUAUAUAACGCAAUUAAUCUCCCCACAAUUUCAAACAAAAUCUAAAUGACCAGUGAAAAUACCUUGUCUUUUGAAUAACCGAGGUAUUAGCUAUACAUUCCAAUGAAUGUAUGAUUAGCUUUUUUAAAAAUACAGGAUUGAUAAAGCUAAAAACAAAAAUUCUACUCACAUUCGAAUGUAAAUCUUACACUCUUAUAUUUAAAAAUAUAAAUUUUAUUUAAUUUUAGUAUUAAAAAAAUAAAUGAGUAAAUUUAGAUAGUAGAAAAUUUAGUGCGUAAGAUUUACACUUAUCUCACAGGUGUGUGUGUGUAUAUAUAUAUAUAUAUAGUAGGAAAAACUUCAAAUACCACUAUUGUGGUUUCACAUUUUUUCACUUUAAUACCCUAUAGUUUAAAGUGUAUUAUUUUAGUACCCUAUGAUUUCAUUUUUCUAUUUCCGCUGGCACAUCGGUUAACUAUCCAUUAAAUCAUAUACAAAAAAAACUCUCUAUCUAUGAUUUAUUGAAUAUUCACUUUAAUACACUGUGAUUUAUCGAAUUUUUACCUAUAGUUUUAAUUUUAUUAUUGAUUUAACGGAGUAGAUGACGGAAAGAGAAAAAUAAAAUCACAGAAUGCUAAAAUAAGAAAGCCCGAAACUAUACAAUGGUAUUUGAAAUUUUUUAUAUAUAGUACUAGUGAAAUCAUCUCAUCUAUUAGAUUGAUAGGGUGUAUCUUAUACAUCUCAAUUUGGAUGUACAAAUAGCAUUUCGGCUUAAAAAGGCAAGAGGAGCAAAAUUAAAGUAUACCCAAAAAUUUAUUAAAAAUCUCUAUAAAAUCUACUACGUGAUAGCCAUUUCACAUCAUCUAUGCCCAGUCGAAUACAUCUAUUCUUUUGAAUAACAAAAAUAUACUACAAUUGUACUUUCAUUGAAAACUUCACGUCAUCAAUGUAUCUGCUAUAGUUUUUAGCAGUAAUUUCGUACAAGUUCUGCAAAUAUAAUAAAUUAUAAAUAUAUUUCAAUAAAAUUUAACUUUUAUAUGUUAUCUUUAUAAAAAUUUUAAUAUUUUUAAAUAUGCUCUCUGAUUUGUUACUGUUAAAGUACUAUUUAUUUUAUAAGUGAACUGACCUUAUUAUCAUCAUAAAUAUGUCCCUUCAAAAAUCUUAACACUUAAUUGAAAAGGAAUAAAAAGAUCAAUUCACCUCAUUAACUAACUAGGGUUAAAUAUUUUACGUAUUAUUAACUAUUUUUUUCUCACGGAUCUUAACGGCAGGAAUAAAAAUAUCAAGAUUUUUACAAAAAUAAUAUAUGAAAGUUGAACUUUAUAAAAAAUAUAUUUUAUAAUUUACACUAUAUUUUAAGGAGCCGUAUGAAAUUGGCUCUUUUUUUUUCUUCUCUCUCCUCUUUUUUUUACCCCUCUUCUUCUCUCUUCUUCUCUUUAUUUUCCUUGACCGCAAUGGAGACCUCCCGCGGCAACGGCGGCGCGCUUCCGGGGCCUUCCUCUGCCGCGGCGGACCGGCGCCUCCACCGCCGUCGCCGUCUCCGUCGGCGCAGCGGCGACGGCGUUCUUCGGCGGCCUUCCGCGGCGGCGGCGGCUGCUGCAGCUGGUGAGCGAGGGUUCUGAGCUUGGGUUAGGAUUAGGGUUAGGGUAAGGGUGAGCGAGGGUUCUGAGCGAGAGUUCUGCUGCCUCCACCGCCGUCGCCGUCUCCGUCGCCGUCUCCGUCCCCGCCGGCACUACCUCCGCCUCCGCCGGCAGCGGCGGCGGCGGCGGCGGCGGAGGCGCCGGCGCAGCCGCGGCGGCGUUCUUCGGCUGCCUCCCGCGGCGGCGGCGGCUGCUGCUGGUGGUGAGCGAGGGUUCUGAGCUAGGGUUAGGGUUAGGGUUAGGGUAAGGGUGAGCGAGGGUUCUGAGCGAGAGUUCUGCUGCCUCCACCGCCGUCGCCGUCUCAGUCCCCGCCGGCACUAACUCCGCCUCCGCCGGCAGCGGCGGCGGCGGCGGAGGCGCCGGCGCAGCCGCGGUGGCGUUCUUCGGCCGCCUCCCGCGGCGGCGGCGGUUGCUGCUGGUGGUGAGCGAGGGUUCUGAGCUAGGGUUAGGGUUAGGGUUAGGGUAAGGGUGAGCGAGGGUUCUGAGCGAGGGUUCUGCUGCCUCCACCGCCGGCACUGCCUCCGCCUCCGCCUCCGCCGGCGCAGCCGCGGCGGCGUUCUUCGGCUGCCUCCCGCGGCGGCGGCGGCGGCUGGUGGUGGUGGUGGGCGAGGGUUCUGAGCUAGGGUUAGGGUUUUGGGGGGAAGGGGGAGAGGGGGGCGAGGAAGCCGGAGGAGAGGAGGUCGGUGAGGUAGUAGGGGAGGAGGCUGGCGUGGCCGGGAGGGAGGCCGGAGAAGGCGGAGACGAUGUAGGCGGAGAUCGCCGCUUCCGUCGAUCCCUCCUCCUCCUCGGCGAGCGCGAGCAGCGCCACGCGGACCAUCUAUCCGACCACGCCCCCACAAAUCAAGAACACUCCAACAAAAACAACAACAGAAUACGAUCGAACUACGACCAGUGAAAGUACGUACCUCGGCGUAGGGAGGGUGAUCAGGGGUUCCACACUUUGCAUGCGGAGCCACGGCGCAGGGGUUCGGGUCGGGGCCUUCUUCUCCUACUGCUUUCUUCGCCUCCAUUGAGACUUCAGAGCACAGUGAGGGGAAAGCUGCUGCCGCUGCUGCUGCUCCUGCUGCUGCUCUUCUUUCUCCUGUGAUUGAGUACCUUUUUGGGUGAAUUUCAUCCGGCUAAAUUAGAAAGAAAAAGUGAAAACUUUAAAUGCCACAUUUAUUUUAAUUUUUAAUAAUUUAAAAUAAUAUUAUUUUAAUAUUUUGUACCUUUUUUAUUAUUUUAAAAAUUAAUUUUUUUGUUAAAUUAAUGACAAUUCGGUAAACCACGUGAUAUUAAAGUGAAUAUUUGAUAAACUAUAGGUGGAAUAUCUAAAAUUUUUUUUUUGUGUAUAAUUUAACAAAAAAUUAACGGAGAAAAAAAAAUCAAUAAUAGAGUUAAAAAUAAAGGAAACUAAAGUAAAUAUUCGAUAAACCUAGAUAAGGUAUAUGAGAUUUUUUGUGUAUAAUUUAACAAAAAAUUAACAGAGAUACUGAUCGAAAGAAAAAAAUAAAAUUACAUGAUACUAAAAUGACAUACUUUAAACCACAUGAUACUAAAGUGAAAAAAUGCGAAACACAAGGGUGGUAUUUGAAGUUUACUCUUAAAAAAAGUAUUAAUUACAUACAACUCCUUAUAAACAUAUCGAAUAGCAGAUGUAUUCCUAUAAAGUCAAGCUUUUUAUAUUUAUUUCUAUAAAAGUCCUAACGUUUUUAAAUAUACCCCAGCUAUUAGGAUCCGUCAUAAAAAUAUAGUUAAUCAUAGAUAAAAUACUUAAUCUUGAUUAGUGGUGGGGUAAAUUGAUCUGUUUACCCCUCUUAUAUUAUUUGUGAUGGCAGAAUGUAGAAAUAAGAUGACUAUUGAAAAUUUUUAAAAGGACAUUUUUACAUCAUCGUUCGAUAUCUGUGGAGACCAAGCUUUGAUGUGCUAUUUGUGACACCCUAAUAGUCCCAUAAUGAAUAAUAUGAGAGAGUAUGAAGGGCUUAAUACAGCGGCACACUAAAAUUAAUAAAUAAGCUUAAGCAUUUUGAAAUAGUGAUUUCAGUUCAACGGAAUAUUAAUGCUAGUGGGUCAGAUCAUUAUACUUUUUUUCGUUUUUCCCAAAGCUGUGCUCUAUUGUCAAAAUUCCUCUUACACUUCGGGACAUAGAAAUUUACAUAAUAUAAAUUUUGGACAGAGAGUAAUUUGUUCAAAUUUCUAAAAAAAUAAAUUUAAUCUGCAAAAUCUAAAAAAAUAAUUCUUUUUUUUUGAGAGAGAGAUAGGAAGCACGCUAUCCGCUUCGUUUAUUUCAUUAGAAAUAAACUUAGCUAGAAAUGUGAAUCAACUAGGAUUCGAACUUGGGUCUCGGGUACCAACCACCAAGCCCUUUACCACUUGCUCUAGGGACGGUCGGUAAUCUAAAAAAAUAAUUCAAUAGUUGAAAACAACUUGAAUAAAGCUUUCAGAAAAUCCUAUCAUUGAGGUUCAUCUUUUUUAUUUUUUUAGGGUAAACUUCAAAUAGCAUCCUUAUGGUUUUGCAUAUUCUCACUUUAGUACCUUAUAGUUUAAAAUAUAUCAAGUAAGUGUCAUGUGGUUUCAUUUUUAUUUUUUCAUCAGCUUCUCAGUUAAUAUUUCGUUAAAUUAUAUACAAAAAAAACUUCAGAUACCCCACCUAGGUUUAUCGAAUAUUUAAUUUAGUACAAUUUAGUUUUAACUUUGUCACUAAUUCAACGAAAAAAAUUAGUUAAAUCGAUAAUAAAAAGAUAAAAAAAAAAUCAUAGGAUACUAAAUUAAUAAAUUUUAAACAAUAGGGUACUAAAGUAAGAAAGCGUGAAACCACAGGAAUGAUAUUUGAAGUUUUCUUUUUUUUUUAUUAUCUAACUAGUGAUUUCUAAUAAAGUUAUUACCAUUACAAGUUUACAACAGUAAAUCUGUUGAUAGGGAUAUAAUAUGAUUGGCUCUCUUGCCCGCUUGUUGUCGGGUUGGGACAGAUUCGGAGCAAUUUAAUUUCUAUUCAAUUUUUUAUCCCAUUUAUCACUCUCCAUUCGAGGCGGAUCGAAAGCAGAGUAAAAUUUUGGCGGAUUGGGACAAAUCGAAGAAAGAAAGAGAUCUCUCGCCUCCCGCUCUAAUAUCAUGAUAGAUCACGACGGCAGAUUCAGAACGGACUAUCUUUUUCUUUACUCUCAUUUAUUGUCCCAUUUGGAACGAUUCGGGUGCGACCUUCGCCAACUUGGAUCCAUUUGCAUCCCUAUUUGCCAAGGAUUAAAGUACCAAUCGGUACGAGCCGUAUAUAUCGUGCCGUAUCAUACUAGCUAGGAAUGUUAAUAGCUACGAAUACUAGAAAUUUUAUCCGAAUCCGAACUCGAAUGGAGCGGAUAUAUCCAAUGCUAAAUGAAUAUGGAUUCGAAUAUGAAUCUUGACUGUACCCGAUCCAAAUCUGAACCCGACCCGUACCCGAAUUUAUUUUGCAUUAUAUAUAAUAUAUGUAUAAAAAUUUGAGGUAUAUUUAAAUGGCCUUUUUGCAUAAAAAAUUCACUAGUUUUGGGCUUUUGCAAAACUUGGUCGUUUUUUCGAUUUUGCAGAUUUGGUCUGAAUUUUUAAUAAACUGACCAAAAUACCUUUAUUAUUUUUUCUUUAGUUUUUUUUUUUCCUUUCCGAAGAAGGUUGCGGAGGCAGAGGCGGAAGCGGCGUGCCUUGCCUCUGCCCCUCAUGCCCUCAUCCUCACCCGCGCAGCCCCCGCCCUCCUCGCCUUCGACCCCUCCAAGGCCGCGCCGUGACUCUUUUUUUUUUUUCUCCGAUUCUCCUCCACCGUCUCCGCAGCCCGCCGCCGCCGCCACCGACGACGACAAAGAGGAAGUACUUCUUGGGAGAUGAAAAGCAUACCGACAAGAGGGGGGAGAAAACUCCGGCGAGGACGAUGGCUGCGAUAGAGGGCAAGGGAGAGAUCGUGACCAAAAAAAUUAUAAAGAAAAAAAAUAAAAUUAAAAAAAUAUUUUUUUCCUCCAUAAAAGAUAAAAAAUUAUAUAAGAAUGAAGAAAAAAAAUAAUGUUGUACUAUUUUAAAUAAAUGUUGCACUCUUUGAGACUGAAAUUACAGUGUUUGAAAUCAGAUUUACACUCUUUAAGAUGAAAUUGCACUAUUUUUUUUUCUUCUUCUUCCUCCAAUUUAUAUUAUUUUUUUUUCUUUUUCUUCUUCCUCCUUUCUUCUCUUCUCCUGCUUGAGUGUCCCCACCUCCCUCAUCAAAUCCCUCUGCUCCUCCUCUGCUGCCAUUGCCGACCAACACAACAACAACAACAACAACAACAACAACAACAACAACGUCCGUGUGCUAUCCAUGCUCGUCACCGUCGGCACUGUGCCCACCCUCCUUGACAUCUUCAACUCGGCCGCUGCGAACGUCGCCGGCAGCCUCGGCGGCGUCGGCGAGCUGUUGGAGCCCGCGUCCGCAGCUUCGGGUGGAUCUGCGACUGGGUCAUCACCGCCCACCUCGCGCGCCUCCGCAAGCAGCAGUCCCGCCUGUACAAUAAUUUCUUGUUUGAUCUUCUCUAUGGGAAUCAUUAAUUCGGACAAAUGACGGAUCCACUCGAUUUGGUCCACUCUACUAUGAGCUCAUGUAAUGAAAUUGCAUUUAUGAAUUUAAUAGAGGUAGGAGAAUGAAGGAAUUUUUUUUUUUCUUAAUCCUGCAUCUUUAAUUUUUUUUUAAAGAAAAUCAUAAUUUAAUUUCAAAUUUUAGUUUUUUAAUGUAAAGUAUCAAAUCUUUAGCGGCGAUGGCCCAGUCGCAGAUCCACCCGAAGCUGCGGACGCAGGCUCCAACAGCUUGUCGACGCCGCCGAGGCUGCCAGCGACGUUCGCAGCGACCGAGUCGGAGAUGUCGAGGAGGGUGGGCACGUCGCUGACGGUGAUGAGCAUGGAUAGUAUGCCGGCGUUGUUCUUGUUGUUGUUGUGUUGGUCGGCUGCAGCGACAGAGAAGGAGCAGAGGGAUUUGAUGAGGGUAGUGGGGACACUCAAGGAGGAGAAGGAGAAGAAAGGAGGAGGAAGAGGAGGAAGAAAAAAAUAUAGUAUAAAUUGAAGGAAGAAGAAGAAAAAAGAAAUAGUGCAACUUCAUCUUAAAGAGUGCAACUUCAUUCUAAAGAGUGUAAAUCUGAUUUCAAAAACUGUAAUUUUUGUAUCAAAGAGUGCUACCUUUAUUUAAAAUAGUGCAAGUUUUUUAAAAAAUAGUGCAACAUUAUUUUAAUAGAGCAAUUUUAUUUUCUUCUUUUUUUUAUAUGAUUUUUGAUCUUUUAUGGAGAAAAAAAAUAUUUUUUUAAUUUUAAUUUUUUUUUUAUAAUUUUUUUGGUCACGAUCUCUCCCUUGCCCUCUAUCGCAGCCACCGUCCUCGCCAGAGUUUUCUCCCCUCUCUCGCCGGUGUGCUUUUCAUCUCCGAGAAGCACUUCCUCUUCGUCGCCGGCGGCGGCGGUGGGCUGCGGAGGCGGUGGGCUGCGGAGGCGGUGGAGGAGGAUCGGAGAAAAAAAAAAGUGUCAUGGCGUAGCCUUGGCGGGAUCGAAGGCGAGGAGGGUGGGGGUUGCGCGGAGGGCGUGAGGGGCAGAGGCGAGGCACACCGUUUCUGCCUCCGCUGCCUUUUUCAGAAAAAGAAAAAAAAAUGAGAGAAAAAAAAAAAUGAGAGAGAAAAAAUAAUAAGAGUAUUUUGGUCGGUUUACUAAAAAUUCGAACUGAAUCUACAAAAUCGAAAAAAUAACCCAGUUUUGCAAAAGCCGAAAACUAGUGGAUUUUCUUAUAGAAAAAGGCCUAUUUAAAUUUGUAUUUUAAAAUUUUAGAUUUAAUAUAAUAUAUUUUCAAAUAUUGAAAAAAAUAAUUGUUUCGGGUUUGAAUUGUCGCGUUCGGGUUCGGAUUCGGGUUUUGGAUUUUUAGGUGAGUUCGAGUUUGGAUAUGGAUUUUAAAAAUUCGCCGGGUUCGGGUUCGGAUUCGGGUCUCAACUUUGGAGUCGGGUUUGGGUCUCAGGUUUGGAGUCGGGUUUGGGUUUAGGUUUUUGAAAAUCCGCCUCUAAUCCGACCCAUUGGUAUCUCUAAUGUCAGCAAGAUAUUGGCAUGAUAUAGUCUCUGUGCCAAUGACAUAAUUCAAAAUUCUCUAUUUUUGAAAUUAGUAAGUAAUUUUUUUAAUAAAAUUUAAAAUAUUUUAUAAAAAUAUUAACAUAUUUUGUUAUUAAAAAAAUAAAUAUUUUAUAUCAAUAUAUGUAGUAAAUUUUCUAUAGAACUCCGUACCACGUCACUUAGAUGCUUGCUACUCGCACAUCUAAACUGAUGCUACUACACAUAAGCGAGUCCCCAAAACUUGAAAACUAUCACCUUUGUAUUCAUUCGCUCCGAGCCGCUGCGGUGUUCAAAAUCGUCGUUCCCUCUCCCUCCUCCUCUCCAUGAAACUGGUACUCUCUCUCUCUCUCUCUCUCUCUCUCUCUCUCUCUCUCUCUCAUCCUUCUCUUCUCCUUCUUCUUUUUAACAUGUUCGCCUCCUCCCGGUUCUACAAACCCUAGACGUGCCUUAGCCAUGGCCGCGGCGGCGUCCACCGCCCCCCAUGCCACGUCCUGGAGCUCAGUGGCCUCCGCAUCCUCCUCGAGUGCCCCCUCGACCUCUCCGCCAUCGCCAUAUUCGCCCCAGUACCCUCCUCCUCGCCCUCCUCCUCCGGCGACCUCGUCGCAGCUCCGCCGUGGUACAAGGCCGUCGCCGCCCACCACCUGUUCGACCCCUGUCUCCUCGACGCCGUCGUCGUCUCCUCCCCCGCCGCCAUGCUCGGCCUCCCCUUCCUCGCCCGAAACCCUAAUUUCUCCGCGAAGGUAGCGAGAAAAUCGUGUGAUUUUGGCGUUGGGUAGUUUUAUAUUGUGCGUACACUUACUUUUUAGAUAAUUCACAUAACUUGCUAGCUUUCUAUCCAUGUUUUCUUUUGUUGCUUGUUUCAAGAAAGUCCUUCUUAGCAUGUUUUAGAUGAAUUUAAGAAUAAUUAAUGAACAAUUUUAGCCCUUUAUCCCUUAUUUAUUGAACAAUUUUAGAUGAGAUUUUGGCAUUGCUGGAUUUAUAUUCCUCACUUUUCGAUAAUUUUGCAGAUAUUUCUAAACUUUUUUCCCCUGAGGUUUUAAAUUUUGUUUCAGAAAAAGUCCGUAGCAUGUUUCAAAGGAAUUUAAGAAGGUUUAAUUAACAAUCUCGACCCUUUAUCCCAGUAGGCAUCACAUACGCGCCCCUUUGUCGUAAAGUCGUAAAUUUAUUUAUUUUGCCUAACACUCUAUCCUUGUAAUUCAUGUUUCGAAGGUAAAAUUUUGCUGAAUGGAGAAAAAGUUAAGAAAUUUACUAGAAUAUUCUGAAACUCUAGUAAAAGUUAGUUAGUAAAAGCUUUCAUGAAAGAAUAACUAAAAGGGAUCUCUCGUGAGGAGAUAAAAAGUAAGGACUUUUUUAAAAGUUAUCUUAGAAGCUAGGGACCUGGAUAUAAACUUUUCUUUGGCAAUUUGGUUCUGCAAAGUCUUUGUGAGCUUUGCCGAGUUUGAAUGGUGAUUUUGAUUUUUUUUUUUUUUAAUAAAUUUCCUUAAUGUUUCUUUUAGAUAUAUGCUACGGAGGUGACUGCAAGGAUUGGAGGGCUGAUGAUGGAGGAGCUGGUUGCAAUGCACUCUGAGUUUGUGAGGUAUUAUGGGUUGGAGAAGAGGCAGGGGAGGCCGGAUUGGAUGAAGUGGGAGGAGCUUGAAAGGCUUCCAAUCGAAUUGAGGAACGUUGUUAUGGGGGAAGAGGGGGAGGAGUUGGGUUGCUGGAUGCCUCAGUACAGGUUAGUUAUCUUGUUUUUGUCUUGAUAAUUAAGUUUUGAUGGUUUAUUAGUGUUGGUAAGUGAAUGUGAACCAAUGACCGUAGAAAAGAACUGCUGUUUGAGCUGAAGUUGGUGAUUGCGAGAUGUCAGAGUUUGACUGGGGGUUAAAUUGAUGCCGUCAUCAUGUAUUUCAUAAUGAUUGCGUUUGACUUCUAGAUUAUUGUUUAUGAUAUUUGAAUAUUGGUUGAAAAGCUUGGAGACUAUAUGUUUAACUGGUUCUGUAUGGUGGCAAACUUGGUAUCUGGGCAAGAUAAUUAUUUUAGCUAUGAUCUUUGAAAUUUGUUAUAAUGAGAACUUCAUUCAAGAGAUUUUUUUGUUUAACCUAUUUCUUCAUCAUGUUUGAUGGCUCUUCCUCAACUUGUUUAUCUGUUCAUGUUGUUAGUAGGUUUUGACAUUCACAGUUCUAGACGUGACAAGCCUUCAUGUUUUCUUUACGUAAAAUACCACUAACUUUUAUCCUAAUUGCAAUUCGAUCCACUAAAUAAAAUUCAAUGGAAAAAUGCCGACCAAACUUUUACCAUUGCAAUAUUUCCCGCAAAAGACUCAUUCGGAGAAAAAUAAUCCUCACUGAGAAGUUACUAAAGUUUGUUGGUUUUAACAACAAAGCCUGAUCCACAAAAUUUAAUUUGGUGCAAUUACGUCUGAGCGAGGAAUAAUUGGCAUAGUAAUAUCAGAUAUUCUUGACUUUUUAUUUUUAUUUUUGCACCAAGCAAGUUUGGUCAAAUUGAAAUUAGAAACAAGUUGGUUGAUAUUUUGCAACAAAUUAAAGUUAGUGGCUCAACUGCAUUUGGAGAUAAUAUUCUUGUUUGAAACUUUUUUCGGAAAAAAACACUAUUGGCUUACAUGUCAUUAAGGAUCGAUGAAAAGAAGCAACAUAGGCUAGCUAUGGUUGCCAUAAAGCAUCUCAAAAUAUCAUAAGUUAUACAUGCAGUCUGGCUAUCGUUUUUAGCUCCUACCAAGAUAUUACUUUUGCUGUGACACUGAUUCAAAAUGAAGUUAAUUGAUAUGUUAUCACUAUUAUUUAUUUGAUUGUUUGAAUAUUUGUUGUGUUCCUGGUAUUGUGAUACCAUAUUUAAAUUGGGGAUGCAAUAAUCUGGUAUUUGUCAGUGCAGCGGAAGUAAAGGAAUGUAUGCAGAAAGUAGUGCCUCUGAAGUAUGCGGAAGAAGUUUGCUUUAAUGGCGCCAUAAUACUGAAGGCUUUCAGUUCAGGCUUGGAGAUUGGAAGUUCAAAUUGGAUGAUAAGCAGUCCGCGAAGAAGCAUAACAUAUUUGUCCAGCUCCAUAUUUGAGUCUGGUCAUGCCAUGGGUUUUGACUACCACUCUCUACAGGGGAACGAUUUGAUUCUAUUUUCUGAUCUCUCAUCUAUGAAUAGCACCGAUUAUGACACUAAACCAGACGAGUGCAAUUCUCCCCCUUUGAGGUAGAUUAUUAUUGUGUUAUUACAAAUACCUUGAUUGUACCUUUGUUUUGUUUGAUCCUUGUUACUUCGGUAAGUGAACUGUAAGAUUUUAUAUUGUUGUGUACAACUUCUUCUAGGACGGAUAAUGAUAACGAGGAUCAUAUUAUUAAAAGCUUAAGUGGCAAUGAUGAAAAUCUAGAGGAGAUUGAGAAGAUCAGUUUCAUAUGCUCAUGCAUUGUGGAUUCCUUGAAAGCUGGAGGUAGUGUCCUGAUCCCAAUAGGUCGACUUGGUAUACUUCUUCAACUUUUGGAGUAUAUCUCUCGUGCUCUAGACAAUUCUAAUCUGAAGGUACUUUAAAAAAACAUUGCUAUCUGUUACUUCCCUUUUGUGCAUUUCUCUUUUCUCUUGAUAGUGUGUUGGUUUUUUUUUUUUUUUUUGCUCGUACAAUUAUAAGCAUGAUUACUGUCAAUUAUCCUGCAGGAUAUUUUAUGUAUGUCUUUGGUGAGUAAGUUUGGUAAAGCAUUUCUAUUGUGCAGAACUGAAUUACUUUUCAAAUUGUUUAUUUAAAGGUUAGAUGUAAGGUUAGUCGCUGAACUUUUGAUGAUUUAGUCCUUGAAUUUUUUGCUAUAAUGGUCUCGUCCCUAGUCUUAUCGAAGUUUCAGAAUGUCUUCUGUAGGUGCAUUUUCACCCAAAAUCUUUAACAUUGCUUAGGUUAUAGAUUGCACACAUUGGUAAUAAUGUUAAAUGAUCUUUUAGUCUCUUUUUUUUUUUUUUUUUUAUCUCUAAGCCAUCAGAUUAUUUUUGGAUGUUUCUUUUUUUCAUGCUAAAUCCUCUUUUUUAUUAUGUUUUUAUAUAUAUGUGCAUGGACAGCAUGCAUUUGAUUGGAUGUCAGGAAAUUUAUGCUGAAAAUAAACUCUGCAAUGACAAUGGAAAAAUUAGGAAAAUUAGGAACUAAUCUGGUCGAUUUAAAAAUGUGGGGACCUUACCUUUUAUUUCAAUAAAGGAUUACAAGUCUUUGCUUUCAUAUAAAGGAAACGAAGAAAAGAUAGUGCAUGCGACGAAUUACUUAUUGGGUUGGAGAGGCUUUGCUGUACUGGUUAUUUCCCACGUUGGACUGGGUCGGUCAACAAUCAUGUUAUAUUUUACCACUUCCACUGGUGAACAUCUACUGGUGAACAGAGCCUGCAUUAUCUGGAUUUGGAACACUGUUCUCUUACUGUUUUAACUUUUUGUUCGUUUCUCCACCCUCUGUUUUUUUUUAAUAAUAUUGAUGUGGGUAUGACGGCAUUUUGGUGUAUUUUAUAUAGACAUAGUAUUAGCUAUAUUUGUGAAUGCUCUUCUUUUCUCUUCAGUUUGCUGCAAGAUCUUUCUCUUUCUCUUGUUGUGUAUUUUUAGCAUUGGCUUGUUCGAAGCAGGGUAAGAUGUUACAUCUCUUAUCAGCUGUGAUUAUGUCAUUUAACUAACCUUAUUCUUUAUUCUAACGAUACUGAUUAUUUGUUAGGUGCCCAUAUUUAUGGUUUCUGCGACAGCAGAGGAGACAUUAUCAUUUACUAAUGCUAUCCCAGAAUGGCUUUGUAAAGAACGUCAAGAAAAGGUUAUUGCCAAUACAUGAAUGUGAUAAUUUUAACAUUAUUACCAUGAACCUUUUGGUGGAUGACGAUAUCAUGUUCUUGAUGGUCAUGCAGCUUUUCUUAGGCGAAGCAUUGUUUGGACAUGCGGAGCUCAUCAAAGAGGGAAAGCUUUGUGUGUUUCCACUGCUGUAUGAAAGAGAGUUAUUGUAAGAACUUUGAAGUGAUGAUAUGAUGUUCAUCUUUAAGAGUUCUACCGUAGAAUGCCAAAUUCUGCAAUUUUUGCCAAGUUCCUAUGCGGACAAAUAAUUCAUAUUGUUUCCUUUUCUUGAUGCCGCUUUAUAGGUUAAGGUAUCCAUUAUUACAUGGGCUUAUUUGAGGUUGGUCUGCUAUAUGAAUUCUCAAAAGAAAUUGCAGUAUGAUUUGUAAAAUGGAUACUAGUAUAGGUUAAGGUAUCCACAUUCUUUGAAGUUGGGGUAUCACCUCUAACCUUGUCAUUCUCUGCGUCCUUUUGGUCUUUCCACUUUAUCUACUUGAUAGGCUACUAGACUCUUGCAUUUGUAUUUUGACAUUCUAUAUGGCUACACUACCUCGAAAAAGUUUUCCUCAUUUUGUCCUCGUAAGUAGCUUUAUUGUUUUUUGAAUGACUUUUAUGCUAACCGAUGGUUGUUAGAAGUGGCAUGUAGUUGCAUAAACAUGAAAUAAAGAGGCAUGAGGUUGCAAAAACUAACUAGAAGGCACUGAAUAUUUGAAGGCUCCGCGCAUUGUCAUAUUUUCUUUGUAUCCUUUAAAAGUAGAGAGAAUUAUAUGUGAGGAAUUGAAUAUCCAAUCAAAAUUGUACUGCCAUUAUGAUCUGUCAUUAUAAAGAGCAUACUAAUAAUGUUCUGACCAUGCGAUUUAUGUGGGUUGAUGUAAUUCUCAUAUUGAUCAAUUUACUAUUUGACCACUAGGGGCACAAUUUUCAAAAUUAAUCUUAUAAUUGGUUGGUAAUUAGCAGUUCUCUUACAAAUUCUUCUGAACUUUUGAGUCCUGCUCCAGCUGACUGUAGAAAAGGCUUGUAUAAUACUGAUAUGCUCAACGUUUCAUCAAUGCUGUACUUUUUAGAGAUCCCUCCCUUCUUUUUUCUUUGCUUCAUCUCUUAAAUAGAUCAAAAUGGCUCUUCAACACUCUAUACCAUGCAUUUUUGACCUAAUGCAAGCUUCGCUCGUUCUUUUUUUUUUUUUUUUUGAAAUCAAUACUUUCAUCUUUUUCUUCUGAAGUUGACGAGCUUUUAAUAAUAACCUUACAAGUUUGGAAUACGAGAUCGAAGCAGUGCAUUAGUUACUUUUGGACCUUUCCUUGAGAUGAACAGCAAAAGCUGUUUGCGAUGUUGGAUGAAACUUCAACCAAGUUGUUUGACAAUAUUUGUUUUCACAUUUGUUUGUUUUAACCAUCCUAAUGAAACUAAAAAAUCUUUUCAGGAUGGCGUGGCAAGAACCGUGCAUCGUAUUCUCUCCUCAUUGGAGUCUAAGGUUUGGUUCGGUUGUUCAGUUGCUUAAUCGUUGGCAUUCCGACCACAAUUCACUACUUAUUCUAGAGGUAUAUUUCCAUUUGCUUGAUUAGGGCCCAGUGAAAAUUUUGUCACAGCCUAUUAGGAUAUCUUCCUUUUAGGGCAUUCUGCAUUGAGUUAUUUAAUCUUAUAUCUAAAAAAAAAUGUAUGACUUGCAGCAAGAAGUUGAUGCUGAAAUGGCUCUUUUGCCCUUCAAGACAUUGGCAAUGAAGGUUCUCCAAUGUUCUUUUCUUUCUGGGUUGAAGUAAGGAGCUCCCCAUUACCGUGUUCCUUUGAUGCUCUAUUUAUGCAAACACUUUAUUUUAUUUUAUUUUUUUUAUCUCUGAAUAUUAAAUGUCAAGUUGAUACUAAUUAUCUAUAUUGCUUAGUUUUUCUUCGGUACUCGUGCAUGCUUAGAAGAGUAUUUAAGUAGAAAUUGGAUAGUUUCUGGAGGCCUUGAUUUUUCUCUGAACUCCAGUUGAGUUCAUUAUUUCAGUUUUACUUUUGUGAGGCAGAUGUUUUAUCUUUAAUCUAAGUAGGCCCGUGCUCCACUAAAUUGGUACUGAAGGAAGAAAGUUGAUCAAUGAAUCUUGUUGCUUAUCUGUUUUUUUUUUUUUAAUUGGUCUUGCAUUUAUAAGUGAAAUCAUGCUGGUUAUGAAGCAGCUUCAUAAUCGGCUUGGCUGUGUUUGUCUGAUUCUUCAUGCUUGUUAUGUAUUGGUAAUUGACCUUAUUUUUUGUGCCUAUCUUGAAACUUGUUUAGAUUCAUGAGAACCGCCUUUUAGCUGCUAUAAAUAGGGGUUGAUUUGGUAUCUAAACAAGCCCGAUGCUGAAAAUUGUAGUUCUGGGAAAGUUAACAAAAUAAACGUUAAAUGUGUAUGCUGCUCGCAUCGGUAAAUGCUAUUACAUUAUGUUGGUCGGUAACCUUCGAAAUGUGAGAUACAAUGGCAAACCUGAAAAUUCGUGAUUUGUCAUGUUGGUAUUUCGGCCACAUUCUGCAAACUUUGUCCAGGUUUACUUUUGUUCGUUGAAAGCUCUGGCUCGUCUUUUAAGCUAGCUACUAUUUUUUUUUUCUUCUUUUUUUUAAUCUCUACUGAUGGAUGAUACUUCUUUGGUUUGCAGGAUGCAGAAAGUUCAACCAUUGCUGGAACUGCUACGGCCAAAGCUCGUUCUGGUAGCCUCUCAUGUAUCUCCUUAGAUAAAGCAAUUCUCUCUCAUUUUUCAAUUUCUUUGUGCUAAUUAUCUUAUCAUUUCAUUUGCAGUUCCCCGAAGUUCUGAGACCUCACUGCCCUAUAAAAGAAGGCGGCUCAUUCGCGUUCUUAUACUAUUCCGAGAACGUGCGGUUACGAGUACCAAACUCGAGAAAAGGCUUUGAAGUUCAACUGGCAACCGAGCUAGCAUUUCAGCUUGAACCCAGAAGAUUACUGGAAGGUAGUAUGGCCAUCGCCAGAUUGCAAGGGAGGCUUCUCCUGAGCAAAGGGAAGUAUCUCCUCGUCUCUGGAAAGAAGCCGCUGAAACAAUCAAACGAACAGAUGCUCCUCUGGGGUUCUGUUGAUCCCGCUCGACUAAUUCUAGCCCUAGAAGAGAGAGGGAUAGUUGGUUCUAUCUGUGACGACGAUAAAGCCGCGGAUGGUUAUUGGUUCAUUCAGGUCUCUAAGCCAGAAGAGGGGCUAAUUAAGAGCAGUGCGAGUGAGACCGUAAUCUCUUGCGACGACGAAAGGACGUCUGCCCUAAUAUUUGAAGCUCUUUGUAGUGUUUGUGAUGGAAUUUAAUAUUGUAUGAUUUUUAUAAUAUAUUGUAUAAACGAAUAACAUAGUAUAUUAUGGACAAAUAGUAUAAUAUAUUACAAUAUAUUACAAAGAUUAUGCAGUAUGUGUAUAAACAAUGCAUAUAUUAUACUAUUUGUACAAAUAUUGUACUAUUUGGAAGAGAAUGUUAUAUUAUUUAAGAAGUAUUAUAUAUAUAUAUAUUUUUAUUGGAAGUUUUUAUUUAUAUGGUAGAUAAGAAUUUUAUUUCUCCAAAAAAAAAGAUGACUGUAAUAAUGAUUUGUCAGUUGUAUUUUUUAAGGUAUUUAAUUUAUAUACUUUUUAUGCAUUUUGAAACAGGGAUAGCUUGGUCAUUUUUUUAAAAAUCGAAUCGAACCUGUAAAAUUUAAAAAGCGGACUAUUUUUACAAAAAUUUCAAAACAAGUGAAUUUUUUAUGCAAAUUGGCCUAUAUAUUUACAUUCCAGUUAUCAUUUAGGGGGUGAAAACCGUAGUCAGAUUUUUUUUUUAAAAUAAUUAUAUCUAUAUUCAUAUUUUUUGUUAUUAUUUUUUUUAAAUGUGGAAUUCAAAUAUGAAAUAUAUACUUGCGUAUUAUCGAAUUCGAUGGAGAUAAAUUUAUCCUAACCACUAUCACCCCCACUUGUUUUCAUUUCCUUGUAAAUUUUUUCCAUUACUUGGCCCUCAAGUCUCACUCGUUUCUCUCUCACUUGUUUUUAGCUCCUCCUCCUCCUCCUCCUCCUCCGAGCUUCUUCGUUGUCUCCACCCCAAAACCCUAAUCACAAGCAGAAGCAGCAGCAGCAGCAGCAGCAGCAGCAGUAGCAGUAGCAUCAGAUCCGGGGAUGGACGCGGCGAUCGGCAAGUUCUGCGACUCCGUCGGGUCCUUCUUCAGCGGCGGCGACAACCUCCCAUGGUGCGACCGCGACAUCAUCGCCGUAAGCGUCCCCUUCGCUGCUGCCCCCCCUAACGCUAACCCUAAACCCUAGAAACUUCAAUUUCGGUGCUGGAUAUGCUCAAAUGCACGGAGAACUUGAGCUCUGACCUCUUCGAUCGGCAUCGUUUUGUGCUGAUUUGAGUUAGUUGUAGCUGAUGAAUUGAAAAUUUUGUCAAAUUAAAUUAGUUAUUUGGUCAAAUUUGAAAUCGAACCCUAAACCCUAGAAUUCCUUUGGUUGAAAUGCAUUGAGAACUUGAGCUUUCACCUUUUUCGAUCGACAGCAUUUUGUGUUGAUUUGGAUUAUUGUAGUCAAUGAAUUGGGAAUUUUGUUAAACUAAUAAGUGAUUUGGUCAAAUUCAUUUCAUGUCUCUACUUUUUUUUUGGGGAGGGGGUUGGAGGGGUGCAUUUCGUUAAUAAUUAAUGAUCAAUAGCCAACGGAGUAGCUAGUUUUAAUGAAAUUUGCAAUUAAUUGGCUAAAAGAACUCAAAUCAAACCUGGACAAAUGAAGGUUGACGGGUGACAAUUGAAAAUUUUGAUUCAGGGGCCUAUUCCAAAAUUACCUCUCACUUGAAGGGUUCCUGAAACACUUUUACAAAAUUAUUUUGUAUCCAAGUUAUUCUUUUUGGAAUUGGAUGAUGUUUUGGACUAUAUCAUUGAAUUACUGAAGUACUCAGAAAGAUCCCAAAGAUUCAAGUAAAAGUAUUGAAUAAAGGAUCCAAUUAUUCUCAGUUUGCUUACUGCUUAGAGCUUACAAUCUUUUAGAUAAGAAUGCAUGGCUAUAGGCUAUUUUUGAAUAGGCCUUCAACUCUACUUUUUUCUUGAUUGACACCCCUAUUUAUUUAUUUAUUUUAUUUAAGAUAUUUGUGUAAAUUGAGUCGGGGAUUCAUGAGAAUUAACAGCUCCUUUAGCCAUUAGUUGUUAUCAAUUUACGAAAUCAAUAGUUUCAUCAACUGUUCAGAAUAGUUAAAUUUAACUGAAUAACUGUUAAAUUUAAUAGAAUAUUUUUAGUUGAUGAAAAUAACCUAAAUCAAAAGAAUGAAAAGUUGUGGGGAUUUCAAUAAAAAAAAUAGUUGAGCAGUCUAUUUCCAAAUGGCCUAUAGUUGAGGGGAUUCCUCUACACUUUUACCUUUUUCUAACUAUUAUAACUAUAAGAUUUUCAACAAUUUAGUAAGUGUUUUGUGAACAAUGGAAUGAAUUAUUUGCUUAACCAUUUGCAUAUGUCACUUUCAUUUCAAUUGAAUGACCAAUUGUUAUUAACUUCUUCUAAAGAGGAUGCUAAACAAAUAUGGAAGUAUAGGAACAAUUUUAGUGUGAAAAGAUUUUGAUCAUUUGUUUUCGGGGUUAUAACUUUAACUAUGAAAGAAUCCUAAACAAAUAGACCCGUCCAAUUUGUAGAAAUGUUUGUUACUUCCUUUUGUUAUUUCCUUCUGCAGAGUAAAGUUUAGGGAUUAAGGGACAAAGGUUGAAUUUUUCGGGUUCCUUUUAUUGCGUCAAAAGAAUGUUACCUUUUAUCAUGUCAAAAGAAUUUAUCUUUCUAUUUGUCAUAGGUUUAUCAUUUUGAUAUUCAGAUAUCAGUCGAGAAGAUGUUGAAUUCCAUUUCCUCUUUCCAUGUAAUUCUGAAUUUUCGUUAUACGUAUCAACUGUCAAGAGUGAACCCGCUCACACUAAAGUAUUUUUGCAGCGUAUAUGAAGUUACAAACAGAGUGAUGUAUUCCCACUUGAGAACUUUAGGAUCAUUAUUUAUCAACUUGAAUCCCACACAUGACUUUCUAGAAUUCAAAUGCAAUUACUAUAUGUUUGCUAUCGCCUUAUGGCAUGGUUCAAGCAAUACUAUGUGAUCUGUGGAACAUAUUAUGAAGUGCCAUGUUGUAUUUUACAAUAUCUCUUACAUGAUGUUAGUGAGUUGUUUAAUUUUUACUUGCUCUUUAACUUGAAUACGCAUGUUUGUACCGUACUGUAAUUUCUGGCUUGUUGAUCGAUGGCUUUUGCAAAAUUUGGAAAUCGCCAGAGCAAUUUUUUUAAAAUUGACACAUUUUUUAAAUUUUUUUUGCUUAAACUAUCUUGUUAUUAUUUCUCUUUUCCCUCAGGAUUAAAACUGUUUUGCAUUUUGGUUCCUAGUGAACCCUUAAGAGAGGCUGACGAACAUACUCUUUUUAGAAAAUCGAACAGAGUAAACAUAUACAGAUUAGAAGAUUAUAUUGAUGCUCUAGAACAUGAUAUACAAUUUCAGGCUAAGCUCCAUAAUUUUCUUUAAAUCUAUUUGCAAAUUUUGUUUUUCCUGUGGCGUGUGGGUGGUAAUCAUUUGGUUUUUUUUAAACAUGUGCAAUUUAUUUAUGUUAUAGCAUGCAGACAAGCUCAUAUCAUUGUGCUUGAUUUCUUGGCAGGGUUGUGAGAAAGAGGUUGCUGAGGCUGGGAAUGAAGAACAAAAGGCUGAAAGCCUUAUGAGGUUAUCUUGGGCCCUCGUUCACUCUAGACAACCCGAUGAUGUGAAUCGUGGAAUAGGGAUGCUUGAAGGUAACAUAUGUUUUCCUUCUUGGGUAAAUUGCACUAAUAGUCCCUGUACUUUGAGUUGAGUUUCAUGUUCAUCCUCGAAAUUUUAAUUUCGACUUUUGAGAUCCUGAACUUUUAAAUAAGGUUUCAAUUUAGUCCCUAAACUUUCAACAAUAUUUCAUUUUGGUCCUUAUCGUGGAGUAAAAAUUAUUGUAUGCACCUAAUUCAUCUGGGUAUUCAUAUGCCAUAAAUUGAUUGAUUCUUCACCAAUCUUAUACUUUCAAUCCAAUGAUUCAAUUUAUAUAACGAAAAAAACUAUAACUCAAUGUGGUAAGGUCGAAAUAUGAGAUGAAAAAACAGUGGAUAAAUGUUUAGUGACUAGUAAUGUUUGAACUUUAAAAUUUGACGGCUAGAAUGAAACUUGCCCAAAAGUUCAAAAGUUCAGGGACUAGUGGUGCAAUUUAACCCUUUUUUUCCUGGUAUUAAUUGCUUCUCUCUUUCUUUCUUUUAGUUAGUAUCUGUGAAUUUACCUAUAUGAGAAUAUGAGAGGCAAUUUGUUCCUUUUGAACUACUAUGUUUGUUUUGUUUAAUUAUAGACUUUUGAGUAAGAGUAAUGUCUUGACACUAAGCCUCUUCUUGUCUUGGCAGCUUCUCUGGAUAGUUCUAGCAGCCCAUUGCAAACACGGGAAAAACUAUAUUUGUUAGCUGUUGGGUACUAUAGAAACGGGGAUUAUGCAAGGAGUCGUCAGCUUUUGGAGCGGUGUUUGGAGGUUUUACCUUAUUUAUUUUACCACCGAUACAGUCUAUUUACAUAUUCAGAUACUUUUUCUUCCAUUCGAUACCAGUACUAUUUUUGCUUGUUGUGCAAAGGAUGUUUUGAAAUUUACUUUAUAUCUUGGUAAAUAUUUUUGUGGACAACAACUUGGUCAUAUUAGUUUGAAGUUUGAACUGCAACCCAUCCUAUAUGCUGCUGUAGUUAUUAAUUAAAUGGUAAUGCUGAUGGAUUCUCAUGUUUUUUGGUAUUGUUGCAUUUAAAAAAUUUAUUUUUUUUUAACUUUAACGAGUUUAAAGUUUUACCAGCUUGAUAUAUUUUCAUCAUUCAGUCACAAUCUUGUAAAGGUUUUCUGAUGAUAGACUGAAAUGCUGCACACACUAUUUUGGUAUACUUAUGUUGAGUUUUUUAUUUUUUGUUAUAUUCUGUUGUAAUUUGUAGGUAUGUCAAAUUUCUGUGUGGCUAUCAUACUAAUAAAUCCUUUGGAGGAUAAUGGAAUAGCUGAUAGAAUUAACUUUUUGCCAAUCUAAUUACAAUCACACUUUGUUUAUUUGCCAUAAAAAGUUGUUAAAGUAUGAUGCACACAGUUAUUGCCAUGUAUAAUAACCUAAAGAAACAUUUCUUCCAACUGACAAUCACGCAUCACAUUAGCUGUCAAAAUGUUUUGCUUGUCUAGAUUAGUUUUCAUUUUAAAAUAGAGUAGAGAGUAGUAUUUUAGUGUUGAAGCCUCAGUCACUCGUACUUUUGGGAGCCUCCAUUCACGUUAGUUGCAUUAUAGCCAACUUAAUUAUAACAGAAAGGUAUUUAUGAUGAGGUAAGUCUUAUCCAUCUCUUCCUGUUUCUCUGUGUUUGUAGAAAUAAUUUUUGUUGAAGUACAUAAAAAUCUGGAGAGCUCUUAUACAGUGAUUGGAUUCAAGAUGCUUAUUUACCAGUCAUCAAACAUUUGAAUGCAUCCUUGUGUUGCAAUAAUUAAUUGGUUAAUUGGUGUCACUGAACACUUGUAACAUCUACCCAUGCUCACAAAUUUUGAUGUGCAAAAGUUUAAGGGCCUGUCAUUUUGUUGCAAUAGCCAUUGCCAGUCUGCUCCGUUGUCUUUUUAAUCCUCUUACUUCCUUUUGUUGUCAACUAUUGAGUUAUCUAUAGGGGUGUCAACGAGCCGAACAUGAGUGAGCUGGGGCCGGUUCAUUAAAGUAUCGAGCCGAAAAAUUCAGCUCGUGUUCCGCUUGUUAAUAAACGAGCCGAACACGAGCUGGCUCACGAGUUGGCCAACGAACAAUUAAAUAGAUUAGAUUGGAUAUGUAUAAAAAAAAAAAUUUAUAAAAUCUUACUCAUUAGACUUUGAUCUAAUGGCUGAAACUUUACAUAUAAAUGAGUCUUUUAAUAAUUGAGCUCAGCUUUAUAUUUUAUUUGCUAAAAAUCAAAUAAAAAAAAUAUUAUAUAUAUUAUUUAUUUAUAUAUAUAAAUAUAUAUAAAUAUAAAUUAUAUAAAUUAUAUAAAUAUAAAAUAUAUGUAUUCGAGUUGUUAUCGAGCCGAACACGAGCGAGUUGACCCCAGCUCGUGUUCGGCUCGUUUACUAAACGAGCGAUUCGAUCUCUAGCUUAUUUCGAGCCGCCGAAGCACGAGCCUGGACAGUGACCUGAAUUGUCACCCUUAGUUAUCUGUCAUGGAACAACUCAUUUUUUCAGCAUGGAUGUGAUAGAAGCAGUACUGUUAUAGUACUGAAUGAAUCUUAUAGCACAGCAUUAUCGAAGUGAUACUACAUCAGAAUCUCUAUACCACAGAUACUAUGGAGUAUUUAGCACUGAGGUACUGUAGCUUUAGAGGAGGAAGAAAAUCAGAAGAACAAGGCAAAGAUGAAAGAUUCUAGCGGUGUUGUAGCAUAAUGCUGUAAUAAUAACACUAUUAGAAUCACUGUAGCAUUGUGGUACUGUAUUGCACAGAGAAAAGGGGAAAAGAGAAGAAAGAUAAGAAGACAAAGAUAUGAGAGGAGAACUAGAGAGAACUUCCUCAGCUGAGAUAGAGGAAGAAUAGAGAUAGCAUAUUUUGUUGUUGUCUAUAAGGUUAACAAUUCCAGCCUGAUGAGGAUGCCUUUUGAUGUAGGUGAGGAGAAAGAAAAACAAUUAAACUCUUUAAUUUGUGUUUUAGUUAGAUUAGGUUUUAGAGAUAUUUGCUAGAAUUUGAUUUUUGUCUUUUAGUAAUUUUUGGCUAAACCAAAUCCCUGACUAUCAGGAAGUUUGGUUGAGAUGCAGGUCAGCUAGGAUUAGGCUUCUAAGUAGUGUAAAUGAAGUCCAAGACCUCUGCAAUCAUUAGUGUGUUUUGGGAAGGAAAAUUGCAUUUACUUUCCAUAUGGGCAAAUUUUGGCCUUUCUUUCGUUCCCUUCCUUUUCACCAACUUCUUUUGCUUUCUCUCUUUCUGUUUUUUUUACAACAAACCAUUGCCUCUAUCUGUUUGAACCGCUGCCAUUCAUCCAAAUCAUUUCCGCCCACUGUCACCAGACCCCGCCCUACCAUGCUCAUUGUUCAAAACUGCUCGGCCAUAAGGUUGCACGUGCAUUGCCUCCACAAAGCUGAGCUCUCCCACAAUCCCAACUCCCAUUUUUUAUGAUCUUUUCGUCUUUUCUGCAAAUCUGUAAUUAGUAGCCGCCCCAUUUGGGAGAAAAAAGGAAAAUAAAACCUAUCAAACCCUUUGCCAUUGAACGCUUUUCUGCAAAUCUAUAAUUAUUAGUAGCCCCGUUUGGAAAAAGGGAAAAAAAAAAAGAACACCUACCCAACCCUUUACCAUUCAACCCUUCAUCACCUUUUAGCCUCACAUGAACCCAUAGCCGAAUCCAUAGGCGUCUUAUUCAUUGGGAAGAAACAUUACAUGCUGCAGUUUUCUAUUGGUUGGGUCUAUAGGACAAAAUGGCUUAACUUUUUGCUUAACCAGUUUAGAGGAUGACUGUUUUAGUUAAUCCUUUUUGGGGAGAAUUAAAUAGUGUUGAAAUGGUUAGAGGAAUACAGACAUUGUAACUAUAAAGUAAACCGGAAGGAGAGUGAUCUAGUAGAUUAGAAGAUGCUGCAGGAUCAAAUGUGGAUACGUCCUCUUACUGCACUUUGUAUUUGGUCUUAUAUCUUGUUUUGAUCUGGAUAGUGGGUUUCCGACUUACUGAAUUAUCCAUUUAUUGAUUUGCUUGAUGUAUCAUUUCCUAUGUGUAUCUAAAUAUAUCAAAAUGGUUGUUAUGUCAAUUUGCAAAUGGGUACCUAACUUCAAAAGUUUAGAUUUCAUUACCUAGCUUUUUGAAAUUGUGUUUUCAGUUUUCAAAUUGUCAGAGAAAUCUGUCUUCACCUAGUGCAUCCAUUUAUCUGCUCACCGUACUGCAUUUGCCCUCCAUCCCAUAGCAUACUUUCAAUAGAAUCAUCCAAGACCAUGUGUAGAGGCAUUUAUAGAAAAUAUCUGUUAUUGUUGCCAAGAUUGACAGGGAUAUACGUGACAAUGAUCUAGUAAUCUAAUAUAAUUGCACAAAUCAAGCACAGAAUUUUAUUCCUGAGAUUCAAUGUCGCCUUAAUGUGAAAUCAUUUUGUGAUGCUUAUGUUCGAUAAAUUACACGAGCUUGAAAUCUUGUAGGGUAGGAUAUAACAGGCUUCGAUGUUCACUUUACAUUCAUUUAAUCCCUGCUCAAUGGUAUUGUAGAUUGCACCUGAUUGGAGGCAGGCACUGACUUUGCAAAAGGUAGUGGAAGAUAAAAUUGCAAGAGGUGAGAUAUUUGUUCAUGCGUAAAAUUUGAGCUAGCACUUUAAAUUGAUUAUCUUCAGUAUAUUAUUAUAAUGCUUUCUCUUACCCAUUUGAUAGCUCAAAACUUGGUAUGCUUUGAGAAAUAUUUGUUCUUGUUGACUUACGCUCACGUCUUAUCAUGUGCUUAUAUAUAAGCGAAAUGACCAGAUCUUUUUUGUGGCAACAGACGGUUUGAUUGGCAUGGGCAUUACUGCUACUGCUUUUGGAGUGGUGGGCCUUCUAGUCGGAGGGAUUGUUGCCGCCGCAUCUCGCAAGAAGUGAAAAAUUUUCUUUCAGAUUCACUACGACGAGUUCUUCACCCUUUUGUCGUUACGUCAACUACCAAGUGUUUUCGCUUCAAGUAUCUUUUUAUCUCUAACUCUGCUGAAUCUUCAUAAGCAAUAAAAUAAGAAUAUGGGCUUUCUAAGAAUGUAAAUUUUCUGUUAAUAGGUUUUUUUUCCAUUAAAUAUAAAAAAUAUGCAUCUAAUGUUUUUUCCAGUUCUUUUCAUAUAUAAGAUCUUUAUUUUCACCUUUUUAUGCAUUCUGAUGAAAUUUUCUCUCUCUGUUGUUUCCUUUUUCUUUCUUUUCUCACUCACCAUCUCAUGAUUAUUUAAGCUUAUGUGUCAACAUUGAAUCUGUCUGAUAGUUGAGAUAUUGUUAGCAAUAAUAUUGAUCUGAUUCUAAGCUUUUCUCCUUUCCAUGAGGCUACUGGAUUUCAAAUAGUGCGCAGUUCAUUUAAGUCUACGGGAUUUCGAACCACUGAUGUUUUAGGUAGUAUUUGAUUUGUUGAAUUUACAGGACUUCAUAUUUCGUGCCUCUGUAUGAAACUAUGGAAACUGAAAUUAUAUGCGGAGAUAAUAUUCUUACAUUUAUUGUCAUUUUACUGUUCCUUGUAGAUCUAAGGGUUCAUACGUACAUAGACAUUCUCUGUUUUUUUUUUUUUUUUUUUUUUUUUUUUUUUUUUUUUUUUUUUUUUUUUUUUUUUCCUUUUGGGCAUCUAUUAAAUUAUUAAUACAAUACUCUGCAUCUUUCUUAAAUAGGCUCGAAUAUUUAUGAUGAUUGUUGAAUUAGAAUGUAAGGCUUUAUGAAAACAAGUUGGUUAAUGUUCCUUAUAUAUAGGACCUGCUAGGGAGCAAUGUAGAAAUAGUGUAGUUGAAAAACACGAGUUUUUUUUUUUUUUAAGCUUCCUUGGACUUUUUUUAAAUUUUUUUUUUUAACAAUGUACUGUUCGGGUGCCUAUUCUAGAGUUUUAAAAUACAUAUUUUGUAGUCCAAAUGGAGUAUUUUUUGCUAUAUAAUAAAGAAAGAGGUUCUAGCUUAGUUAAAAAAUAAAAAAACAAUCAUAGCAAGUUGGUAAAAUGGAGUCAUAUAGUGGUUGGUCAUCCAAACAAUAUAUAAAUGUGAUAUUUUUUAUAUAGAGUAAUGUGAUAUUAUGACAUAUUAAUACCAAAGUGAAAAAAUCACUAUGUAAAAUUUUCAAAAGUUCCCAAACAGCCCAAAUUCGGUAGAGUAGAAAAAGAAAAAAAAAAAAAAACUGAAUAUAUAUAUUGUGUUCAUUAAAAGCUGCUAAUUUGGACAGCUGUGGUGAAUAAAGAGAUUUUUUUAAUAUUUAAUUUUUGGUAUAUUUUUAUAUUAUAAAACUGGCUUGGUCUGCUUAAUCAUUCCACUACAGCUUGCUAUCUAGAAUAAAUCACUCAAGUUAGACACUCACAACUGCAAGUUUCGCAAUCAAUGCAUUCUUUUGCAUCUUUACUCUGUUUUUGUUCGUGGAUAAAAAUACAUUGGGGAGAGCCCCAAAGACACUUAGUUGGGAAAUCCUAGAUUCGCUGCCACUCGUUAAUUUUAUCUUUUUCGGAUUCACUGCUAUGCAUUAGUUUUGCCUCCAUCUAAUAGUUUAUUGAGUAUUUUAAUACCAAAAUUCACACACAAUUUUUAAAUCUUAGAGAAAAAAAUUAUAAUUCUUAGAUAAAAGUAAAAGUGAUACGUGGCGACAGAUCGAGGCUGUUUAAUGAAGUGUUGUUCAGAAGUUCUUCACUGAAAUUUAAGAGGCAACCGAACUCGCAAAAGAGGUUUAGGAGACACAUUGUACUUUGUUAGAGGUUUGGUAAUUUUAGAUUUAUAAACUAAGAUAAACUUCAAAUUGCCCCCUUUGUGGUUUAACUUAUUUACACUUUUUUCACCCUACCAUGGAAAAUGUUUUUAUUUUAUCCCCUGUAGUUUAAUUUUUAUUUUAUCAAAAAAUGAUAAAGUAAAAAAAUUUUUUUUAAAAAAUUAUAGAGUGGCAAAGUAAAAAAUGAGCUAAAUUACAAAGGGGCAAAGUGCAAUUUCUAGAACUACGGUUGACAAAGUGAAAAUAAGCUAAACCCUGGGUUGGCAAUUUGAAGUUAAGGAGUGCUAAGAUUCAAAUUUAAUUUUUAAUUUUAAAUUCAAAAUAUAAAUUUGAAUUUGAUAUUUAAUUUUAAAUCUAAAAUUAAAUUUGAACUUUGAAUUUCUCUAUCCUGAACUUAGAAACCCCCUAUCUCUCUCUUUCUUUUUUUAAUUUUUUUUUUCACUUGUCAUGUUAUUAUUAUUAUUUUUUAACUAAAAAUCCAAAGCAGUUGGUAAUUUCUACUAUCCUUGGAUUAGGCUCGUAGGGUUUACAACUCUUUUGAGUUGUAGAGUUAGCAUUUUUAAUUUAUAGUUUACCCAUAAAAAUUAAAUUUUUUUCAAAUUUAUUGGGAAUUUUAACAAAUUUAUUGGUUUUAAUCACUUCUAAUAAAUAAAACUAGAAUAAUUAAUAAAAAUUUAAAAAUAAUUAAUUAUGAAAAUAUAAAUUAAAAAAUUUAGAAGUUUUACGAGUGUGAAUACAAAAAUUAGGUAAGAAUUUUUGGACAACCCCUCGAUAUGCCCACAUUUCAAAAAUAGAGCCCUGACCUUUUAUAUCUUUUUUAGAAUUAAGUGAUUUAGUUAAUUUUUUUUUCCAAUUCGGUGGUAGUUUUAUCAAAUUUAAUUGAUUUAAUAACUUCUGAUAAGUAAAACUAGAGUAAUUAGAGCUUAAUAACUAAUAUAGUCAUUGAAUUUGAUAAAAUUUUUUAACAUAACUGAGUACAAAACUCAAAUAAAAAAAAAAAAAGAAGUUGAGGGGGUCACAAUCGAAAAAUAAAAGUUGUAUAGGUUAGGGGGUCUCCAUACUUUUUUACCCAAAUAUAAAAAUGAUGUCGAUUGUUUUUAAAAUACUCUAUACUUGAGGGGGUAUUCAUAAAUUUGGAGUGCGGUGUAUGAGAUGUAGUUAUACACCCGGUGCAGGAAAAUUUCUCCACAUUUAGCCCUAUCUCUGUUCUCCACCGAGGUCGGUAAUCGCCCUCCCAUGUCGCACGAGACAACCUAGACGUAACCCUAACCCUAACCCUAACCCUAACCCUAACCCUAAUCACAAAGCGUACCCAAUUCGAGAGAGAGAGAGAGAGAGAGGGAGAGAGAGCGAGUCAUGGCGAAGCGGAAGGGUUGGGUGGCGCCGUCCAAUUCGCCUAUAAAUAGCUUGGACGAUGGUUGCCUCAUGCACAUCUUCAGCUUCCUCAGCCCCAUCCCCGGUUCGUUUCUCAAAACCCUAAUAAAUGAUACAUCUUUUUAGCUAUUUCGAUGCUGGUUAUCCUUGUGAUUGUUGUAGAAGGCGGAUUUGUAGCUGUGGUAUGGAGAAUUUCUGUUUUUUUUUUUUGUGAUUUCGAUGGUUAAUUUCCUGUUAGGGUUUUUGGUUUUCGAAGCUCUGGUGGAGUUGGUUAAAUAUUGAAUUUUGAUUGAUUUGGUUGCUCCCUGUGGAGGGAAUUGGUGUGUUUUUUAUGAUCUUGUUUGUGCCUACUCUCCUUGGGCUUUGAUUAAAUUGCUGCAAACAAUUUUAGGGCAUGUUUCGUUCUGCGACGAAUUCUGCAAGGAGAGCAGUUUUUUCUGCCACUAUUCUAGGGCAACCAAGAAGGAAUCCGAUUUUGGAGAAUGAAUCUAUUGAUUAGGGUGAUAACUCUAAUGAUAGAGCAUUAUUCCAAUAAAUGCAUAUAAUGAGCGAUAAAGUUUAAUAAUAGCUAGUAGUUUCUAAAUUAUCCAAGAAUAACUCACUUUCAUCAUGGAAAGCACCCCUGAGCUUUUGUUUUGUUUUGUGUUUUUUUUUUUGGGUCCUUUGGUUUUGUUUUGUAGAACAAGGAAUGAUAGAUUGAGCAGUUCCUCAGUUUUCCCCCAACCAAAAAGUAUAUUCGAUAAUUGGAUUUUCAUUGUUGUCGUUAUGGAUGGUUAAUCUUGGGUUUGAAUAAUAGUCGAACAUGAGCAGGCUCUUGUCGAGCCAAUUCUCGAGCCGAAUAUGAGCUGUUCGUGAACAAAAACCGCAAUUGAGAGCCCCAUGUUUUGUGGCUUUACAUUUUGGUUCACCGUCAUGGUCGUCUAUUUUUCCAGAUUUGUGUUAUGGUUAGAGUGAUAUUAUGUUGUAUACAAUUAUGGUGGUUGACGGGCUGUGGUAUCUCUACAAAGGUUUUGUUAAUUUGUGGGAAUGCCCCUGCAAGUUGGUGUUUGGGACCUUGGGUGCAUGCUCUUGAAAAUCGUAUUUAUUUGCAUUCAAGUCUCUACGAGAUGUAUAUGUGCCAAAUCCAUUUUUGUGUAGGUGUUCGACAAGGGUGCAUGCGUAAGUAAGUAAUGUUUUUGGCAAUGAACGUGUCUUACCAAUACUCUGUAGGCGAGUUUUGCACAAUUUUCAUUUUUGCAGUGUGGUAUAUGCAAUAAAAACCUAGUCUGAGAUUUGUAGUGUGCUUCUUUUUAAGACGAGCUUUUUAGCACGUUGGUGGUCAAUUUGCAGAUAGGUAUAACACCGCCCUCGUUUGCCACAGAUGGUGUUUUCUGGCCUGCCACCCUCGACUAUGGCUUCGUGUGGAGAGGCCUAUCAAAGGUGUUGCUGAGCCUGGAGUCUUUCUGAAUCUCGAGGCCGCUAUAUCUGCUGCAAGGUAAGGGAGUUUAGCUUUCUUCCCUUUGUUUUGCAUGAUUGGGCUUUAGAAGAGCAGAAUAAAAAAUAAUUUAGUUUUGUUGAAGGCCCGGCGACACCAUUCUGAUUGCUGCUGGUGGUAACCAUGUUGCCUGCAACAUCCAGAUAAAAAAGCCUCUCUGCCUUGUAAGUUUGAGCCAAUUUGUUUUGUUGAUAAGUCAUUUAAAUACCAUUUCAUUGGAAAAUCAGAGAGUAAAGAAUUUAGGGGAAAAUUGAAGUGGGAAAUAAGUUGAGGAUUAUCAUUAGAUAGGAAAGAAUUGCUGAAAAAAGAAAGAAAAAAAAAUGAGAUGGCAAUUUUGAUAAGCAUAUGAGAGUUUCUGAGUGAAGACUUAUGAGUGUAAAAAAUGCAGCCAGUGGGUUUGAUACUUCUAUUCUUUCUUCUUAUAAAACCUACAUUAAACUAAUAUUUUUGCUGGUCAUUUCUUCGCUUUGUCAUUGGAGAUUUCUAUUGGUAAUCUCAUUUUUCAUUUGGUGAUUUCCUCGUUGAAAUGAUCUUCCAACUGCCGAACAUAUUUGCUCUGAAUCAAUUAUUUGUGGCUCGGACUUGAUUUACGGCCUGUCCAACCAAUGCAAAAGAGAAUUACAAAAUUCUACCAAACCUAAUCUGAGGGUGGGGCAGCUUUUGGGAUGAUGCCUGCAUGGCAGCCUCUUGUCCUUCAUAAAGAAAGCCCCUAUCUGCUCUUCGAGUGCAACCUUGAUUUGAGAGAUCAACGCGUUAAGUGCUUACGAGCCCGGGUAAUCCUUGGCAUAGAGCAUUUCCUCAAUUAAAAUGAAAAUGCUUUUGAUUGAUCACUUGUAGAGUAAUACAUAGAAAACGGUAGUUGAAACUACAUAUAGUUGAUCUUUUGUUUCCACCCACCUCAAUAUAUGAUAUAAAACUGUUUACACUGCUUAUGGUUACUUCGACUUCGCUCUCCUACAUUGGGAAUGGGAUUUUGUUUUUCUUCUUACAACACAUUUAUAAUCUGUUAGCGGACCUAAUAUAAUUAUCUAUUUUGACUCAUCAGCUGGAAUUCUGGACAAAUAAAAUGUGGAUACUUAUUCAAUAUCCAGAACUAAAAAGUGUAAACUCGAGUCGUCAAUUCACAGGACUAGAGAAAUCACAGCUCAAGAAGAUAGCAAGCUUGUAUUAGUGCUCAACCAUGCGAUGCUUUUUGAAGCUCAACCCUGCAGCCAUUGUUUGAAGCCUCUUCAAGUCUCUUCACUUCGCAUUCUGCUACUCUCUUUUUUUCACCAAGCAAAGAAACCCUAGGUUCUUCUACCCAAUAAACGAGGUCUUAUAUAAGCCUCUAUGCGAAUUAGAGAAACUCUCACUAGCAGAGGUAUUUACUCCAUUUAAAAUCCUAACUAUUGUUGACGAAGUGCGGGGAUUUGUGUACAAACUAGAGUCCAAUGGAGAGUUUGGCAAGAAGAGAAGAAUAGUGUAGCAAGUAAAAUACCUCCAUGAGUGUAAUGUUCUAAUGGGCAAUUGCACGAAGAACCGGAGUACCGAACCAACGGUUAAGGCCUUGUCCAUCAAAAUUAUAAAUGGUUUUGUGUGGGAUGUUCUAAUCUUGGUCCUUUUCUUUUUGAUCAGAUAGGUGGAGGUGAACUGCCUGAUGAAACUGUUCUAACUUGUUCUCGUGGCUCAGACAGGUGGGAUUCUUUCAUUUUCUAAGUCUGGCCAUCUUAUUGAUCUUGUUCUAUAUGAUUGAGCCGAGCAAUAGAAUUCAGCCUUUUUAUGGGUUUUUCAUUUUAUUAUGGUAGCUUAUUGUAACUCCUUAUUAUAUUGUGAUUUUCCUAAGCAGCGCUUUGGAGUUCCUUUCAACCUGCAAAAUCGCGAACCUGACGAUCAGGGCUGAACUAGGAUGCUGCCUUCUUCAUCGCAGCGGUCGGCUGACCAUUGAAGGGUGCGUGCUGCAGUGCGAGGAGAACCCGCUGGAUUACCUCUCCUUCCCGAUUGUGAGUACCGCCACCGCAUACCCUUCCCUAAAAAAGGGCCAGCAAGACGAGCACGGACUCACGGUCGCGCGCACGAGGAUCGAGGGGGGCGCGAAGGCUGUCUCGACCAACGGGACUUUGGCGCUGCAGCACGUGCGCGCCAUCUACUCGCGCACCUCCAUCUUCUUCUGGUUUGAAGUUGGCGUAGUGGUAGAUAAAUAAUAUAUAUGCUUCAGUGUUUGCUGCUAGGGUUAGCUUGUGUUUCUAACAUUGUGAUUUAUUCGGAUGCGGAGAACGGUGCUUUGGGUUAUUGGAUGGCAUUUGGUUCAUGUGGAACCAUUAGAGUUCAGUUUGUGUAUCAUCUUUAGUAACCUCGAAGUGCCAUCAUGUAGAUUUGUAUCUGUACUACAAUAGUACAAUGCAGUUGCAUAUAAAUUAUAUGCUGGAUUGGCGGCAGCUGAUCGAUUUAUGCUGUCAUUUGCUGCUGAUACCUGCUGAAUGCUUAUGCCAACGCUCUUUCAGUGAAAAAUGAUAUUAAUAGAGUCAUUUUUACUAGAAAUGGUUAUGUUUUCUAUAUAUCUUGAGCAAAUUCGGUGGAUGAAUAGUAGUGUGAUUGUGUGAAUAUCAACCCUUUGUGUGAUACUUUGGUCCCUACACUGCAAGUAAAUUCUCAGAUAAGAAGCUUUGACUUUUAAGCUCAAAUGUAUACUCCUCACUUUGCCUGGAUUUAGCAUGAUUUGAAUUUAAGACCUAACCACUUGGAAGAUUGGUUUAGGGGUAACAAGCAUAGUUGUUGAAACUGUUUCUAACAUUUUCUCAAAGUUAGUUUUAUUCAAGUUUCUUUCAUAAGAUUCCUUAUUGAGCAUCAUCUUUGGGUAUUUUUAUUUUAAAAAAUCAAAUUAUACUCAUUGACAGUUUUUUUUUGCCAUUUUCGAUUUCACAAUUUUAUCCUCAUAAACUCUUGUGUAUGUAUAUAUCCUUUUUACAAUAUAAAACAUUAGAAUAGAACAACACCAAAAACUAAUGAAAUGUUUUUUGUGUUUCUUUGAUAAAUAAUUAAGGAUAUUUGAGAAGUAGAGAUUUAAAAAAAAAAAAAAAGAAAAAGAAUAAGAAGAAGAUAAAAAAACAGAAAGGAACACAAACCCUGACCAAUGUGAACUUUGUUCCUUGAAAUUUGCACCCAAAAGCUUAUGGGCUUCUUUGAAAUCACUUUGUAUCCUCAAUGAGGUUUCAUCAAGCAAAAGCCUAGCUUUUAAUUUCAUCCUAGUUUGGUAAUGUGGUGAAAAAAAGUGUCAUUUUUAUACUAUAGAAAGCCCAAAAUUCUCAAAAGUGUUUUUAAUUUUCUUUAGAUUACAUGAAUAGUAAGCAGAUUAUGUUCAUAAAAUUAUAAAACUCAGAACACAUGAAGUUUAAAUAGCUUGGAUCAAAUUUAAUAAUACCGAUCACUGAUUCGGAUACUCUAUCGCCAGAAAUUUAAACAAGAGGUAUAUUUAUCGAUCUAAUCACAUUUUAUUUUAGAAAAAUAAUCUUUUUGCUAUAAUAGAUGCAAUCUUAUCAUCCUAUAUAUAAAAUAAUAAAUUUCAAAAUACUAUUCUCAACUGAAUGCAAGUAAAGUAAAUAAAUUAUUUAUAGUUGUACCACUUUAUACCACAUCCUACCAUAAUAAUUAUUAUAUUUUUAGUGGUGAAUUUCAUACAGAUCUCUAGGAAAGUAUCACAUAGCAGAUAAAUCUCUAUAAAACUUAAAUGAUCAGAUUUAUCCCUUUGAAUAUUCUCUGGUUUGUAAAUAUAUCUCUCCAAAAAUUCUUGUUCGUUCAUUGCCAUUUGAUUCACUGUUCAUUUUUUAACGGUGGGUGUGUAAAAUGACUGUUUGCCCUUACAAACUUGUUUCUGCAAAAUGUUAUCUUUCUUUCUCUCUCUCCUAGCUUUCACCGCGGCAUGUGCGGCAUAUCUCAUUUUUGCCGCGACCGAGUGCCUCACCUUUGACGUCGCCGACAUCGUAGGUCUCGCCGUCACCAUGGAUAAAGAGGAGGGGGUGGUGAGAAAGAUAAUGAGACUCACCAUUGGAACACAAGUCAUACUAGUGUAAUAGCUCGCGCGAUACGACAAGUAAGUAUUGUUGGAGACAAAAAUUAUAGAUAAUAAAUUAUCAACAGAAAUAAGAAUAAAUAUUCAGCAUUAUCUUUAUUAAAUUUUACUAUUUCAGAAAAUGAUCAUUUCAAGCGUGUUAAGUUUGAAAAGAAAAAUGAUUAUACGUUUCGAGGUGGGGAAGUGAAAGGACAUGGCGAGAAAGGUUCGAAAGAUGAGAUGAGUCGGUUCAAUUCAAGAAAAGGUGAGAAAGGCGGUUUAAGGAAAGAGAAUAGCUGGUUCAAUGAAGGUAAAGAGUCGGACCUGGAUUGAACCCAAUAACGAGAUAGAAAUCGAUUCAAGAGAGGAGAAGAGCCAAAACUUGUAGACAGAAGGAUGUUUAGAGAGAUUAAUUUGGAGUCCGGUUACAAUGCUAUUGAUCGCACCAAAUACUUGAUGCUAUCAAAUUUUCUGUCGUUAGAUAAACCGCUUGGACCAUUUUCAUCCGUUAGAUUAAACUAUUUAACCAACCACCCACUCAACCCUAGGGGACCACUAUCAUCAGAACCGUGCAUCACUUUAUCCAAAAGUCGAAAACUUAAUAGCACCAAUAACUUCAUGCUAUUAAUGGUAUUCUAGCCUAGUUCGAUAAAUCUCAUAACUUAAAUUUUUUAGAGGUAUAUUUGCUAUUUAAUAUUUUUACAAAAAGCCGUAUUCAUUUAUUCAUAAUUUUAACUACACUGUAUACUUUAUAAAUAAGGACGGAACGAGGAAAAAAAAAAAAAAAAACAACAAGUGAAAUAUGUAUUGGGAUUUGUCCCAAUAAAUAAUUCCCUACUCCAACGGUCGUUGAAAGUUGAAACUCCCUCGAUUUGAUUUUUAAAUGCACGUCCCCAUCUCCCCUUAAAUUCUGGAAGUAGAGGACAUAGUGCAUUAAUUAUCCUCCAUAAAAAAACUAUAUAAUUAUUAUAAAAAUAUUUCAAUUGUCCUUUUUUUUUUUUUUUUUUUGAAUGUUUUGUAAUUAAUCAGAUCUUUAAUGUGAAGAAUUCGCCUCUAUCACACUGGUAUCACAUCAUAAGUAAUAAACUAAUAAUAUAUCUUUUCAUGAGAUAUAAGUAUAAAAAUUAUUUGUUUAUUAAUCAUGAUGGGACGGGUGAAUUCAAAGAAGACAACCUUAUUGGUUGGGAAUGCCAUGUCAGCAAUAUAACGGAUGCAUUCUAUUUUUUUUCCCUCUAAUUUUAACUGUCGAUAAUUUUUGCAGUUAUUCUUAAUUUUUGUAAUUAUUGAUGAGUAACCAAAUAAUUUUUAUAAGUUUAGAUUUAUUUCUGUCAAGUUUAUCUUUUAAUAUUUUGUUGGUUAAAUAUAAGAGAUAAGUUUAAAUCUGGUUCAAUUAUUGUUAUUAGGAUUUUGAUUUAUGACUAUAUAUAGACUUUUCUAAAUGUGUGAAAAAUUAUCCACCAUCAAAAUUUAGUUCAAGAAUAUUUAAUAAAGUUUUAGUUUUAUACUACUCUCCUUUCAACAAGUGGUAUCAGAGCAAAUUACGCUUCCAACAAGUGGUAUCAGAGCAAAUCACGUUUCCAACAAGUGGUAUUUGUGCUAAUACCGAUUAUAUAACUCAAGAUCUAAAAUAAAACAAAAUAAUAUAGAGAAGAGAUAUUGGAGGAGGAAAAAGAUAACUAAACUAAUAAUUUAUUAAUAAAAAAUAAUUAAUUAUAUUCUGGGCAACACCAAUGCAGCCAUGUCUACUAUUACUAAUUCAUCUAAUUAACCCAUGCCUAACUUUAUAUGAUAAAUCGAACUUUUACUUUGAAUAACUACAAAUCUUAACCAUAAUCAAAUAGAAGAUUUAAACUUAUCUGUGACUGUAACUAUAUUUUAAUUAAGUUUGGAUUAUUAUUCCAACAAGUGGUAUCAAAACAAAUCACGCUUCCAACAGUAAUUAAUUUUUAAUUAACUAGGUCCUAAUCUUCUUUUUUUUUUUUUAACUAUUGUUGAUUGCCAUUACUAAUAGGGCUGGCAAACGAGCGAGCCGGCUCGUGUUCGACUCGUGUUCGGCUCGAUAUUCAGCUCGCUCGAGCUCGACUCGAAAUUAAAUGAGCCGAGCUUGAACAAAAUAAAAGGCUCGAAAUUCAUUUCAAGCUAGCUUGGUAUUACAUCGCCGUCACUCGCACUCGAAUUAGGCUCGAAAAAGCUCGAAACAGCUAUGAAAAAAAAAAAAAAAAAUUUAUCAUAUAAUAUAGAUAUAAGCUUGGGGUUAUAUACUAUUAUGAGUAUGAGACCUGCCCUCUGUACUCAUAAAUUUUUAACGUUUGAUUGAUGGAAUUCGUGGUUGGUAUGAUGAGUGUCCCAUGUAGACAUGAUAUGGUCCACCUAGGGUUUGAUGAGGUAGUUGUGGUUAGAAUGUAUGAUCUAUAUGGGAUAAAAUGUAUUAUGGAAUAGAAUCUUAAGGUCGAAAAUUUGAUGCAGUAUAAAGGAGCAAUACUCAUAAAAGAUAUAGCGUUGGACUUAUAUAUAUAUAGAUAUAUAUAUAUAGUAUUAUAUAGUAGGGCGUAGAAUACUUUUACAAGUAUCACCAAGUGAAUACUUGGUGUGUUUUAGCCUUGGAUGGAGAGAUGGUGAGCUUGGAGAUGAUUGGCUGGUAGCGUGGUUGUGAGAGUGGAAAAGUGUUGAUCCAAGCGCUAUUUGUUUAAUCCAAAGUAGAUCCAAUGUCUAAAAAACGUGGAUAGCAACGAAUUGGGGAUGAUAUUAUAAAUAUAAUGCAUUUUAAUUAUAUAUAGGCUUUAAUUAAUUUGGGCUUUAUUGUUUGGCCCAUAAAAAUUAAACCAACAGUUCAAUCGUAAAUUGAGACCAAACUCCUAAUUACAUAACGAGCACUCUCUUCUUUCAGACUUUCACGUUGCAAUAAUGCUAAUAUUAAUAACAUUCAAUUUCCAAAUCCCUACUUUUUUUUCUCUCUCUCUCUCUCUCUCAGACCCUCAUCUAGUCAGGAAGUCACCCUAGCUCACAUUUCUUAUAAUUAUUUUGUAUUUUGAACUAUUGGACAUGUUGCAUCAAAUUGUAGGUAAUGUUCUAUAAAAAUUAAACUAUUUAUUAUAUAAUGUCAAGAAUUUCAAUCGGCUCGUUUAGAGCUCGAGCUCGGCUCGACUCGAAAUUAGGCUCGCUCGAGCUCGGCUCGAAUUAAUUUCAAGCCGAGCUUGAGCCUAGAUUUAGGCUUGAAAUUAAUUUCAAGCCGAAUUUGAGCUGACAUAAGCUCGCUCGAGCUCGGCUCGUUUCCACCCCUAAUUACUAAUAAGCCCCUAUUGUAAAUAGAUUGGGAUUUAACCCAUUUAGGGCCCGAUCGAUGAGUAAUUCACAAUUUUAUGUCGGAAUCGUAUAAUAGAGAAUAUAUCGUAAUCGGCUUAUCGCGAUAUACACAUGCAACGUGAUAUUAUAUGCUGCACCUAAUGCAGUCUCUCUCACAAUACUAAACAGAGCUUAAAUAUAAUGCAUUAAACGUCAAAGCAGGAGGUUCAAAUUCACAAUCUCACAUAACGAAAGGGAUUUAGAAUUACUUCUGACACCAUAUUAUUCCAAAGAUGGAACGACUUACGAGAUGAAACACUGCAAGUGGUGGAGAUGAGAUUCUGGAUUCCCAUCCAUCUGUGUCCCCUUCCCCACAUCAGAAAAUCUACUUCCUUUAAAAAAAAAAAAAAAAAAAAAAAAAAAAACAUACAUAAGGUAGUGCUAAAAUGCUAAAAUAAUUGAAUGCGUCUUUUUAGCUAAUAUACAUAUGCUCAAAUUUAUAUUUUAAUAAAGGCUAAAUAAAUUAUAGAAAACAUUUUUCGUAGCUACUUGUUUUUUCACUUUUUUUUCCCUAACUUAAAAAAUUCUAUAUUUUUUAUCCCCUCAACAUCAUUUAGCUCCCCUUCGUCAGGAUUCCAUCACUAUUCCGGUCAUUUCUUAUAAUUUAUAUUGAAAAUAUUCUUCAAAAUAACAAAAAAAUAUUAAAAAAUUAUUUUUUUUUUCUUAUAGAAGAAGUAAGAGCAAUGUGGUCAUUUUUUCUGAAAAUAUUUCUAAAUUUUUUUUGAGAGAAAGGUAGUAUACUAUCCGCUUCGUUUAUUUAUUUUAGAAAUAAACUUAUCUAAAAAUAUGAAUCAAUUAGGAUUUAAACUUGGGACCUCGGUUACCAAUCAUCAAAUUUUUUGCCACCUGCGCUAGAGACAAUUAAUAAUAUUUUUAAAAUUUUAAGAGGGUAAGAUGUAAGUUUUUGAAAGUCAGAAAGAAAAAAUAAAAAAAAAUAUUUAUAAAAUUUUGUUUUUGUAAUUUAGUCUUUAAUAAAUUUAUAUUAUUCUAAUGUAAUUCCAAACAAUGGAAGAUCAAUUUUUUUCCAACAUGGUGGCCAAAGACUGCCUACAAGUUGCAAAAUCAAAUGCAAUUAUAUGGAGACAAGGUUGGUAAGCAGUAGCUAUCUAUAUCUGGCCAAUUAGUGCAUGUUGAAAAAUUUUUAGUAAUUUGAAAAAUGUUUCAUGCACACCUAAUGUACCUAGGGCUCGCAAUUCAGCUCGCUAUUCGCGAGCCAAUUUAUGUUCGGUUUGAAAAAAGUUCGAGAUCGAUUGCUCGUUUAAUAAAUAAGUCGAACAUGAGCUAAAUAUUUCAACUUGCGAUCUGGGAUCACCUAAUAGUAGGGCCGACAAUCUAACUUGUUGUUUCGCGAGUCAGUUCAUGUUCGACUCGUUAAUAAAUAAGCUGAACACAAACUGUAUCUUUCAGCUCGAUAUUUUGACGAACCAGCUCAUUUAUGGCUCGUUUGAGUAAAAAUGAGCCGGCACUAACUCACUCGUAUUUGGCUUGUUGGCGGUCCUAACUGUAUCAAAUGAGUGUGUAAAGUAAACACACAAUUAAACCGAAUAGUACAGUAAUAUUUUUAGCGAACUAUAGGGCGUUACAAUAUAUAUAACUUUUUAUCCUUCUAUAAUCUGUAUUUCACUAUUCUGUGAUUCGUAAAAAUUUGUAAAAAUAAAGUGUCAUUUUGUUGCUCUAUCUAAUAGUAGGUCUUCACAAGAUAAAGUUAACAUGCGAAUCCUAAAUUUUAUCCAAAUCCGAAUGCGAACGGAGCGAAUUUAUUUGAUACUAAACAGAUAUAAUUUUGAAAUAUAAAAUAAGAAAUACAACAGAUUUGGAUUCGAAUAUAAAUUUUAUCUGUACCCAACCCGAAACCGAAUCCGAACCCGAACCUAAAUUAAUUGAUUUUACAUUAUAUAAUAUAUAAAUAAAUGUUUGAUGUUAUAUUUGUACUUCCAUUUUAAAAUUUUAGAUUUAAUGUAAUAUAUUUUGAUAUAUGGUAAAGAGAAAUAAUUAUUUCGGGUUUGGAUUUUCUGCUUUGGGUUCGAAUUUUAAAUUUUGACCGGGUUCAAAUUUAUAUUCGAAUUUCGACUUUAAUAGUCGGGUUCGGCUAGUAUUUCUAAAAGUCCGUUUCGAAUCUGGCCCGCUGACAUCCUUAAGCUUGUAUGUCAUUCAUUUCGAUUGGACUCAUCGAAAGAUUAUGAAUAAAAAUGAAACCAUUAAUAAGAGGAGGCGAGCUGUCACGCAAAAUGCCACAUGCGAAAUGGAAACUCUAUUCCAUAGUAGAUGAAUGCCCGAGGAUGUGCCCAAAUAUGCCAUCUUAUUGUGGAAUUAGAGGUUUACCUGUGGUAGGAACCGCGCGCGAUAAAAAGGAAGCACCAAUCGUAUUGCCUGUGAGCAGUGAGUGCCACUGAGCGAGCCACAAUGCGCUCCGCAUUAGAAUGUUAAAUAGAAAGAAGAGUCGCACUAUGUGACGUAGACUCAUGAAAAGGCCAAGUUAGCAGGCCUGUUAAAUAGAAAGGUUUUGAAUAUGGGCGUGGAUAACCCUAAUUCUAGUCGUUGGCGGAGAUCGUCGACAGUAAGGGUGUUCGUGAUGGGGUGUUGGAGUGGCACCCUAUGAACCCUCAUGUAAAAAAACAGUUAUUUACACUUGUUUUUAUAUUAAAAAGUUGAUGUACUAGACGUGCUCUUCAAAGUUAUUUAAUAUUUUACACCUACAACUGAGGAAAAAAAUAAAUUAAUGAGACACGUGAAUGUUAGUGGUAAGUAAAAUCAUAGAAAAUUCACUUUUUCUUACCUAUGUUGAGACACCUUAUAAUGUUGGGUUAUUUGCAUACAUGUUCCUGCAAACAUAGUAAAUUACGGAAAUAUUUCUACAAAACGGAAACUCUAUAAGUUGUCCCUGCAAAAGUCCUAAGUUAUGUAGAUAUGUCUCUCCGGUUAACAUCCGUUAGUGAUUUGUUUAUUUUUUAACAGUGGAUUCAUGAAAUGACCAUUUUAUCCUCACAAAUAUAUCCCUCCAAAAGUUUUCCUCUUUCCUUCUCUUUCUCUUCCUCUUUGGACCGUUGAAGUAGACGACGGCGGCGGCGGCGCGGGGUCAGGUUCGCUGGCGACGAAGAAGAGGGAAGAACGCCGGGGCACCGGAGCUCUACCUGGAGCUCGUCGCCCUCAACGCCGUCCCCUCCCUCGUCGGCCUCCUCGGCCACGACAUCGCCGACAUCGUCGUCGACGUCGUCUCCCUCUUCACCGACCUCACCGACGCCGACGUCCUCGGUGACCACGACGACCCCAUGCACGCCCUCGUCGCCGCCCUCGUCGACAACAACGCCCUCGAGCUUCUCGCCAAGAAACUCGCCCGCCUUUCCGAGGCCGACCCCGACGAGGUUCUUCUCCCUCGUCGGUGACGAAGAAGAGGGAAGAGGAAGAGGAAGAGGAAGAAGAAAGAAGGAAGAAGAAGGGAAAAGAGGAAGAGGGAAGAGGAAAAGGAAGAGGGUUCGCCACCGUCGCCGCCGUCGCCGCCGCAUCUCCUUGCCGGCAACGAAGAAGAAGGAAGAGGAAGAGGAGGAAGAGGAAAAAGGGUAAAUACGUCAAUUUACACUUUAAUUAACCAUGGUUAAGUAUUUUAACCAUAGUUUAAAAAAAUUUUCUAACAGAUCUGGACGGCAGGAACAUAUCUGCAUAACUUAGGACUUUUGCAGGGACAACUUAUGGAGUUUCCGUUUUGUAGGGAUAUUUUCGUAAUUUACUAUGUUUGCAGGGACGUGUAUGCAAAUAACCCAAUAUUGUUUUACAGGUAAAAUUUAUAAAAUUAAAAUCUUUUCCCUUUAUAUAAAUAUAUAUAUAAUGCCUAAAAAGCUUAUAUAAAAAGUUGUUUUAAGAUUUGUUCCUAAAAUAUUGAAUAGCAUAUUGAUAUGGAUAUUAAAAAUAAAAAUUCUAUAAAUUUUAACAUUACCUGAUCCGAAUCAGAUCCGAACCCGAAUUGAUUUUAUAUUAUAUAUAUAUAUAUAUAUAUAUAUAUAUAUAUUUAUAUUUGAUGUUACAUUUAAAUUUAUAUUUUAAAAUUUUAGAUUUAUACUGUAAUAAGUUUUGAAAUAGUAUAAAGGAAAACAAUUGUUUCAAAUUCAUAUUCAAAUUUCGGAUUUGAUUGUCGGGUUUGGAUUCGAGUUUUUACAAAUUGGCUCCGAAUCCACGUUGUUGACAUCCCUAUUCAUGUGUGAAAUUAACAAAAUUAACGACUCUUUGACGGCGAUGAAUCGGAAGGGCAUGCGUAAUAAUUUUGCAUAUGUAAAAGGGUCUUUUUGAUAUUUUACACUUUACGGCCCACGAGGGAGUUGUACGAAAUUUCGAGUUUCAAAGGGGCACCGUUGAAAUUGUCCCGUACGGAAAAGUCUCGUGUAACGGUUGUGUAUCACGGUUUCUUGUGGGCCCCACCAGAAAAUCUGAACGUUACGACCGCUUUAAAAUCUACGCGUUUUGCCGCGUACUCCGUUGGAAAUUUGGAAAGUGAAAAUAAAAUAUAAAUAAAGGGAAAAUUUCAAAUACCACCGCCUAGUUUCACAUUUUUUACUUUAGUAUCUUAUAAUUUAAAUUACGUCCGCUUUAAAAUCAACGCGUUUUGCGGCGUACUCCGUGGGAAAUUUGGAAAGUGCGAAUAAAAUAAAAUAAAGGAAAAACUUCAAAUACCACCUCCGUGGUUUCGCAUUUUUUAUUUUAAUAUUUUGUAAUUUAAAGUGUAUCAAUUUAGUACCCUGUGAUUUCGCACUUUCUCAUUUUAGUACCCUUUGGUUUAAAGUGCAUCAAUUUAGUACCAUGUGGUUUCAUUUUUCUCUUUUCGUCAGUUUCUUUGUUAAUAUUUCGUUAAAUUAUAUACAAAAAACUUCAGACACCCGACUCAGGUUUAUCGAAUAUUUACUUUAGUACCAUUUAAUUUAACUUUAUCACUGAUUUCUUUUUCCUCCGUUAAUAUUUUGUUAAAUUAUAUACGAAAAACUUCAGAUGCCCUACGUAGGUUUAUCGAAUAUUCACUUUAGUACACUUUAAUUUUAACUUUGUCACUGAUUUAACGCAAAAAAUUAGUGAAAUGGAUAAUAAAAAAAAAUAAAAUCAUAAUGUACUAACUUAAUAUAUUUUAAACUAUAGGGUACUAAAGUUAUAAAGUGUGAAACCACAGGGGCUAACUUGAUAUACUUUAAACCACAGGAUACUAAAAUGAGAAAGUGUGAAUCCACGGGAAGGUAUUUGAAGUUUACCCUAAAAUAAAAUAAAAUAAAAUAAAGAGUUAAUUUCAUACAGGUCCCUACAAAUAUAGUAAAUUAUAAAUAUAUUUCUAUAAAAUUCAAUUUUCAUACGUUGUCCCUACAAAAGUCUUAAUAUUUUCAAAUAUGUCCUUAUGGUUUGUUAUCGUUAAAAUACUAUUUAUUUUAUAAGUAAAAUGACCUUUUUGCCAUCACAAAUAUGUCCCUCCAAAAGUCCCAACUCUUAAUUGAAAAGGAAUAGAAAGGUCAAUUCACCUCAUUAAUUAAUUAGGGUUAAAUAUUUUAUCUAUGGUUAACUAAUUUUUUUUAACGAAUUCUAACGGUAGGGAUAUAUUUGAAAAUAUCAAGAUUUUUGUAAGGGCGACAUAUGAAAGUUGAAUUUUGUAAGGAUAUAUUUACAAUUCACUAUAUUUGUAGGAAUCUGUAUGAAAUUAACCCUAAAAUAAAAUAAAAAUGUGUGGAAACCCCCUCAAUUCUAAGCGAUUUUGAAAUUGGUACCUCAACUUUAUUUUUCCUGGAUUGAUGCUUUCUAAAUUUUUAUUUUUUUUGACAAGUGAGUAUUGUUUUUAUCAUCUAAAAAUUAGGAACUUUAUCGUGAGUGUCUUUAUUAAAUUUUCCCUUAUAGGUAGCUUCGUAGUUUCUCACUUUGUCUCCCUAUGAUUUAAAGUGUAUCAAUUUGCCCCUCUGUGGUUUUGUUUUUAUCUUUUCGGUAGCUUUUUCGUUAACAUUUUGUUAAAUUAUAUACAAAAAACUUCGAAUACCCAUCUAGAUUUAUCAAAUAUUCACUUUAGUACCCUUUAAUUUUAACUUUAUUACUGAUUUAAGGAAAAAAAAUAAUAAAAUUGAUAAGAAAAAAAGAAAAACAAAACCACAUGGAGGCAAAUUGAUAUAUUUUAAACCACAGGGGGGCAAAGUAAGAAACUACGAAACCACAUGGGGGGUUUUUGAAGUUUUCCCUUAAAUUUAAUAGUGUUGAUUACACUUCAGCUAAUAAAAUAAGGAUAUUUAAUAACUAAUAGCUAAUAUAAUACUUAACUAACUUAAAAAAAACUUAAAUAAACAAAAUAAAAGUUGAAUGGCCUCCAUCAAAAAGUUAAAAAUUUCUGUUUCGACUAGUUUAUUAAUAAGCUGAAUACGUGCUGACGCACGUGAACAACAAGUUAACUUGUCGGCCAUAUUACUGGAUGAAAAAUUAAAAAAAUGUAAAAAAAAUUAGAAUCUUAAUUUAAUAAUUGAAAUUCAAAAAAUAUAAGCAUUUUUACAUUUGAAUUGGUCUAAAUCUAAAUUUCAAGUUGUUAUAUUUAGCCCCUCUCUAUCAGGGUUCCAUCACUAUUUUGUCCAUUUUUUAUAAUUUAUACUGAAAAUAUCAUUCAAAAUGACAGAAAUAUAUUUAAAAAAUUAUUUUUUUUUUAUAUAAGAAGUAAGGGCAAUUUGGUUAUUUUGCCCUCUCCAUUAACACCGUAUCAUCUUGAAAAUAUUUUUAAAAUUUUAAGAGGGCAAAAUAUAUAUUUUUGAAAGUUAAGGAGGGAAAAUAAAAAAACGGAUAUUUACAGAGAAAUUUUCUAUAAUUUACCCUUUUUUUAAUCUGCAUUAUUAUACUUAGUUGAAUUGUUAUUAACUUUAAUGAUUUUGUUAACUGCUACAUGUUAAUUGAUCUAAUUUUAUUUGCUAAAGAUUAAUUAAAAUUAUUAAUUUUAAUGAAAUUAUCAAUAUAUUUAAUAAAAUUUUAAUUUAUUUGACUAAAAAUCACUUAAUUCUGAAAAAAAAUAGAAGCUACGGGGUUUUAAAAAAUAAAAUUGAACAAUAUAGGCCAAUUUGCAUAAAAAGCCCACUUAUUUUGGGCAAUUGCAAAACCAGGCCACCUUUUUCGUUUUUGCAGAUUCAGGCCAAAUUUUUAGCAAACUGACAAAAAUACCCUUAUUACUUUUUUUCUCUCCUCUUUUUUUUUUUUCUCUCGUUCUUUUUUUCUCUCUUCAAAGAAGGUAGCGGAGGCGGAGGCGGAGGCGGAGGCGAAAACAACUCGCCUCGCCUCCGCCCCGCACGCCCUCGCCCUCGCCCUCGCCCGUGCAACCUGUUCUCCUCACCUCCGACCUUGCUGAGGCCGCGCCGCCACCGUUCUUCUUCACUAGGGCACGGCGACAUCGAGACGCAGGCUCUUCUUCUCCACCGCGCGUCGGAACGCCAAGACGUCGUCGGAGGCGGCAGGCGGCGAGAUCGCCUCCGACGACGUCGCGGUGGUUGCGAUAGAAAGUAAGGAAGAGGUGGUAACAAAAAAAGGUUAUAGAAAAAAAAAUAAUAAUAAAAAACAAAAAUAAAAAUUAUUUUUUUCCUACAGAAAAGAUCAAAAAAUAAAGAAGAAGAAAGAAAAUGAUGAAAAUUAUACUCUUAAAAUAANGGCGGAGGCGGAGGCAGAGGAAGAGGCGAAAACGGCCCGCCUCGCCUCUCACCCUCAUGCCCUCGCCCUCGCUCUCGCCCGCGCACCCCCCCCGCCUCCCUUGCCUCCGACCCCCUGCCGAGGCCGUGCCACGACUCUUUUUUUUUCCCUUUCUCCGACCCUCCUCUACCGUCUCCGACAAAAACGCCUCUCUUGCCCACUCUCGUUUUUCCCCGCCCUUCUCGUCCUCUUAUUUUCUCUCCUUCUCCGCCGCCUCUAACGACGACGUAUCUUCGCCGACGCCGAUACUAUGGAGGUCACGCGACACUGCAACCUUGGAGCGAGAGGUCCUUAGUAGCGUCGUCGCCAGCGCCGGCGACGUGACCGUUAGCAGAGACGGGUGAAAAAAAAAAUUAAAGAAGGAAGAAGAAAAAAAUAAAGAUAAAGAAUUAUAAAAAAAGAAAGAUGAAGAUGAAAUUGUAUCGUUAAAAUAAAAUUACAUUAUUUUAAAGAACGUUGCACUAUUAUGGAUAUAAGUUGCACUACUUAAGAUGUAAACUGCACUAUUUAAGAUGAAAAUUACACUAUUUAAACGAAAAUUAUACUCUUUGGGAGAUAUUUACACUGUUUCUCCUCUUAUUACACUCUUUGAGAUGUAAACUAUAUCUUUUAAGAUGAAAGUUACAUUCUUUAAAGAAAAUUUACACUUUUUGAGAGAUAUUUAUACCAUUUCUUCUCUUGUUGUACUCUGUGAGCUGUAAACUACAGAUUUUAAGAGAUAUUACACUAUUUCUCCUCUUGUUGCACUGCUUCUUCUUUUGUUGCACUAUUUCUACUCUUAAAGAGUGCAACAAAGGAAGAAAUAGUGUAACAAGAGAAGAAACAAUGCAACAAAGGGAGAAACAGUGUAACUAUCUCUUAAUGGUGCUGUUUACAUCUCAAACAGUGCAACAAAGAAAAAAACAGUGUAAAUAUUUCUCAAAAAGUGCAACUUUUGUUUUAAAAGUGUAACUUUUAUCUUAAAGGAUAUAGUUUACAUAUCAAAGAGUGUAAUAAGAGAAGAUACAAUGUAAAUAUAUUCCAAAGAGUGUAAUUUUUAUUUAAAAAAUAUAAUUUUUAUUUUAAAGGGUACAGUUUACAUCUUAAAUAGUGCAACUUAUAUCCAUAAUAGUGCAAAGUUCUUUUAAAAUAGUGCAAUUUUAUUUUAACAGCGCAAUUUCAUCUUCAUCUUUCUUUUUUAUUUUUGGUCAUUAUUUUUUUCUUUUUCUUUUUCUUUCUACUACAAUUUUAUUUUUGUCACCCCUGUUUGUCAAAGAUCAUGGCGUCGGCGACGCCGUCGCUAAGGACCCUCCGCUCCGAGGCUGCAGCGCCGCAGCGACCUCCGCAGCAUCGGCGUCGGCGAAGAUGCGUCGUCCUCGGAGGCAGCGGAGGAGGAGGGAGAAGGAGACGACGAAAAAGCCGGGGAAGAGCGAGAGAGAAGUUGUAGUCGGAAACAGUGGAAGAGGGUCAGAGAGGAAAAAAAAAAAAGAGUUGCGGUGCGACCUUGGCAGGGUCGGAGGUGAGGAAGGCGGGGGUGCGUGGGCGAAUGCAUGAGAGUGAGAGGCGAGGCGGGCCGUUUCCACCUCCGGCUUUGCCUCUUCCUUUGCUGCCUUCUUUGGCGAGAGAAAAAAAAAAUAAACGAGAGAAAAAAAAAAGAGAGAGAGAGAGGAGAGAGAAAAAGUAAUAAGGAUAUUUUGAUCAGUUUGCAAAUACUCAAAAUUCGUUAUUUUUUUAUACAACUUGGCCUUUUUUUUUAAUACUAAAAUUUUAAUUUUUUUAAAAUUCUCGAAUUAAUGAAUGCAAGAUGUGCAUUUCAUUUUAGAGUGUAGAGAUAAGAUUUUUUUAAUUUUAUAUCCCCUAUGCUGUUCCCUGUUUUGAAAUUGCCGCAUAAUCUUUUAUUCUUAUGACUUGCGCUCUUUGUAUAAUCAAUUUUUCUUAAUAAAAUCUCCGUGCUAUCAAUUUUUCUCAAUAAGAUCACUCCAUCAGUAAAACUAAUUGAAAAUUUAAUUCCUGACAAUAAGCCGUUUAGAUUUAGUACAACUGCGAAGGGCCCACUUUUCGAGGGGUCGCAUAUUCUAAAACUACUAUAGUCCUAACAUACUUAAUCGUUUUAAUAUUUUUGAAUCUAGUCAUCGUCCAAAAUAUUAUAACUAGAUUAAGAGAUUUAGUUAUAUUAUAACUUAUACAUAACAUUAUUUCAAAUUCUGAGAGCAUCACGACAAUAUCGAUGAGUAGGAAAAACAAAUGGAUUGCAUACAAUAAUGAUGGUGGGAAAAAGAUAGAAGCGAAGCGGGAUCUUUCCUAAAUAUUUUUUCUAUUAUAUUAUUUAGAAAAAAAUAUUGUAUAGAGACCCCAAAACUCUAGCUUUUAAUUUGGCUAUGAGACUCUUAAAUUUUAUUAAAUAGUUUAAUAUGCUUCCCUUCUUAACUAAAAUUAUUAAUUAUAUAGUUGUUUUGAUCACAUAUUAUGUACAUACCCUUAGAAAGUUUUAAAAUAUAAAAAAAUUAUUUUUCUAUUCUAACAUAUGAAAAAAAAAAAAAAUCAAAGUGCCCUCAAUAAUCAUGCCUAACUAGUUAAGAUACCCGCGUAAUGAGGCGGAUAGUUAAUAUUAUAUUUAAUUUAUAAUUAAUAUUAGAAAGUAUAUUUUUAGUUAAAUAAUACAAUAUUAAUAAAUUGUCAUUACUUAAAAAUAUUUUUUUUCACUGCUAAAUAAAUUUCAGAAUUAGUAUUCAAGCAAAAAUUCAAUAUAGAGAAGCAAAAGAAAAGGAGAAAAAAGAAUAUUUUUUUUUGUUCACAGAUAAAAUAAUAUUUGACAAAAAUUAUAUUAUUGAGAAUAUAUAAUUAUAAAGUGUUCGCGGUUCACGUCCGAAGUAAAAUAUUAUCGAUAGUUGAAACUUAAUAAUUUAAUUCCGCAAACUAUUAAGAUAAUAGAAUAAUUUAGAAAAAAAAAUGAGCGAGUUCGGUUUAGAGUGUGGUGCUUAUACAAAUUAAUACAAUCAUUCAACGUGGAGCCCUCACUCAACAAAAAAAUCGGUUGAAAGAUGGAAACUAUGAAUCAAUUGGUCUGGUUCGGUCCAAUGAAGCAAACCAGUUCAAGGAAAAAAAGAAGGCAUCAGUUUGGCUUAGGCAGAAAAAAAAAAGGGAAACUUAAGCCAGUUUAGGGUAGAGGCCUCACUCAACUAUAAUCGGAUCGGUUCAAACAAUUAAAAAGAAAAUACGGUUCAAAAAUGAAAACGUAUAAAACAAUUGGUCUGGUUCAGUCCAAUGAAGCAAUUUGACUCUAUCUGGUUUAAGUAAAGACAAAGGAAAACCAUGUUUGGUUCAAGUAAAAAAAGGUAAAAUUAUUUGGAGGACUUGAGCCUGUUCAGGAUGACACUCAUACUUGACAACCCGGUUCGGUUCAAGUAAAGAAAAAGAAACCGGUAUAGCCCACAACCAACAACAUUGAAGAAAAUGCUGUCAUGUGGCAAGAUUUUGGAGAAAUAAUGAAUAGUAAUAGAUAAUAGAUAAUAGACAAUAGAUUACUAGAACCAUAAGGAAAAAAAUAUUCUUUGCGUUUCGAAAUUAUCGAAAUUGCAAGAUAUGCGAUCGAAAUAGUUAUGUGAAUUAAACUUUUUUAAUAUAGUUUAGGAGGUCUAAUUGUUGAAAUUAAAAAUUUGAAGGUUUCUGCUCUCAUGGGUCGGAUUCCGGACAGAUUUUCAAAAACACAAACCCGAACCCGACUCCAAACCCAAAACCUGAAUCCGACCAAAAAUUUGAAACCCGAACCCGAUCGGGAACCCAAAAAUUUGAACCUAAAAAGAUUAUUUCUCAUUUCAAUAUUUCAAAAUAUAUUAUAUUAAAUCUAAAUUCGAAUCCGGCCAAAAAUUCGAAUCGAAAUCCGAACCUGAGCCAGACUCCAUAUCCAAACUCGAAUCCCACCAAAAAUUCGAAACUUGAACCUGAAAAUCCGAACCUAAAAUAAUUAUUUCUCUUUUUAAUAUUUCCAAAUAUAUUGCAUUAAAUCUAAAUUUUUAAAAUACAAAUUCAAAUAUGACAUCAAAUAUUGAGCUAGACUGGUAUACUAUCGGUAGCACGGAGGCCUCCGUGCUACCAAGUUGUUUUCAAUGAUGCGGCUUCCAAAUCAACGAUCAGUUUCGUUAGACUUGAUCUACACUAUUGAAAGUAUUUGGAAACUAAAUUUCAUAAUUUUUCGGCAUCAUUUACCUAUCAAACGAGCAGUAUAAAAAUGAACGGCUGAAAAUAAAAAUCUCAUAAAAAAAUGAUGAUAAAAGAUUUGAAUUUAAGAUCAGAGGUACUAAUCUUACUCUAAAUAGUGAAAAAAAAAUUUAUAAAAAUUUCAUCAUAUUUGGAUUGUUUUACACCGUUAAAUUCACAAACGCAUCACAUCUACCAUUAAAAUUGUCAAUUUUGAGACUUUUUGAUCACUAGACAAAUGAUGCCAGAAAAUUAUGAAAUUUAUUUUCUAAAUACUUUUAACAGUAUAGAUCAAGUCUAACAGAGCCGAUCGUCGAUUUGGAUGCCGCAUUAUUGAAAACAACUUAAUAGCAUGGAUCCCUCUAUGCUACCGACCUAGUAUACCGGCCUAACUCUCAAAAAUUUAUAUACAUACUAUAUAUAAUGUAAAAUAAAUUCGGGUCGGGUACUAUCAAAAUUCAUACCCAAAUCCAAAUCCGUCGAUUUUUUUUUUUUGAUAUCGUAUUCGAAACUAUGUCCAUUUAGUAUCGGAUAAAUUUAUUUUGUUGGGUUCGGGUUUGCAUAAAAUUUUGGAUAUCCGCACCUAUGGACAUUCCUACUUUCUACAUAUAUGAUAAAGUUUAGGGGUCUCACUGCAUUUUUACCAUAUAGUUGGUAACUUGGGAUUAUUACUCCGAGAUAUCGCAAUACGGAGCCCCGAUAAAUAAAAUAAAAUAAAAUAAAAUAAUAUAUUAGGACAAAUAAUAUAAUAUAAUAUAAUAUAAUAUUAGAUAUGCCUCUUAAUCUCAAGACAAAAAGGUGAAAAAUACACGGAGACCCCCUCAACUCUAGUUGAUUUUGAAAUUAAUCCUCAACUAUUUUUUUUUGGGUUUGGAAUUAAGUGAUUUUAGUUUACAAAAUUAAUUUUUAAUAAUAUAAAAUUAGACUAAUUGGUGAUUAGUGACUAGUAGAGUUAUUAAGUAUGAUAAGUUGUGAGAUAACCAAGUAUAUAAAAACUCCUAUAAAAAAAUAGCAAUUAAAAAAGGCAAACCAAAAGGUCGACCCCCCUCGACUAUACGUCAUUCUGAAACAGGCCCCUCAAGUAUUUUCUUAAUAGAGAUUUAAUUUUAAUACUUAAUUAUGUUAAAAUUUCUACCAAAUUUAGUAAUUUUAUUAGUUAUUAGUUAUUAAUUAUUCCAAUUCUAUUUACUAAAAUGUAAUAAAGUCAUAAAUUAAUGAAAUUAUCGACAAAUUAAUAAGCCCUCCAAGUUUUGAGGUACUAAAAUAAAUUAUAUUAAUUAUCCUUCUAUAUUUUAUUAUUAUUUCAAAUAGGUCCAACUAUUUAGAAUAAUUAUUGAAUUCAGUUAUAAAACUUAGUAAAUAUAAAUUGUAUGUAAAGUUAUUUAUAAUUAAGCAAGAGAAUCAUAUAAAUUGAAUAAAUAGGAGAUCUCCUUUUUUUAAUUUUUUAUAUAUUAUUAGAGUUACAAAUUAGAUAUAUAUUGUCAUGUGGAUUAAUGUAUAUACUAACUCGUUUAAGUAGAGUUUUACAAUCUAAUUAUUUAAAUUUUAAUAUUUUUGAAUCUAUUUGAGAUGAUGAUAAAGUAUGGGGUGGUAAUUGAAUUUUUUUAAUACAUAGUAAUGUAAUUGAGACUGGGGUACCGAAACUAGACCUUGGGUUGAAGUGGAGUUUGGUUAGGGCAUGUUUGGUUACUCGAAAGUCAGCAAAGUGGAAAAAGUGACUUUUAUAAAAGUAAUUUUUUAGUUCAAUUGUUUGGUUGCUAUAAAGUAAAAAAUUAACUAUAAUUAUAUAUAUAUUUUUUAUUAAAUUAUAUAUAAAGAUGUAAAAAUAUAAACAAACGACUUAUACUUGCAAUUUAAAUUAAAAAUUUAAGACAUAAAUUUAAUUUACAAUUUGAAUUUAAAAUUUAAGUUAAAACUUAUAAGUGAAAUUAAAUUUUAAAAUAAAAGAUCAACACAAAAAUUAGAAAAUUUAUUCAAAUUUGAAUUUAUAAUUUGAAUCAUAUAUUAAUUUACUUCUUGAUCUUAAAUUCUGAAUUCAAAUAUGAAUUCAUAAUUUAAAUUAAUAUUUAAAUUUAAAUUAAAAUAUGAGUUUAAAUCACAAUUCGAAUCAAACAUUUGAAUUCAUAAUUUGAAUUCAAAUUCAGACUGAAACUCAUUAUUGAAGUUAAAUGUAAAUAACAAAUUUGAAUUUAAAUUUUAACAUGAAAAUUUAAGUUUUAAAUUUAAAUUUCAGUCAAUAAUUUGAAUUUAUACUUGGAACAAUUUGAAUUCAAAUUUCAAAUUGAAGUUCUUAACUAAAAAUAAUUUGAUUAAAAUUUAAAUUUAAAUAUAAAUUUAAAUUCUAGAAUUCAAAAUAAAAAUUAAAAAUUUAAAUUUAAAUAUAAAGUCAUAAAUUUGAAGUUAAAAUUUUAUGUUGAAUUUUAAUUCACAAAUAAAAUUCAAAAUGUGAUCAUAAUUUUAAUUCAAAUUUAAAGUGAAAUUAAACUUUAAAAAUAAAUUUAAAUAUUAAAGUUAAGAACUAAUAUAUCAUCUUAGUUAAGCUUUCCACUUUCGAUGAUUUUGAGCCGAAGUCAAAAAAGUGAGAUUUAGUUAUAACUCACUUUAUCAGCCUACUUUCGUAAAGUAACUUUUAUAUUCACUUUUGUAAACCAAACAACCGAUAAAACCUCACUUUCUAAAAGUAUCAUUUUCGAUACUACACUUUCGGUAAACCAAACAUGCCCUAAAACUAAUUUUACUCUGCUGUUUAUUUUGCAUAAAGUGAAUAAUGUAAAACUAUAAUUUAUUUAUAAAUAAUAAAUAACUUAAUAAAUAAUAAAUAAUAAAUAAUAAAUAAAAAUAAUAUAAUUAUCUUCCUAUAUAAUUAAAAAAAUAAUUUAAAAUAACUAAAUUAUUUUUUAUACAUAAAUUAUUAUAAUACAAUAAUAAAAUUAUAAAAUAAAAAAAUAUAAAUACUUAGCUAAUCAUAUUUUAUAUAUACAAACUAAAUGAAGGAAAUAAUAAAACUUAAUUCAUCAAAUCUUAUUAUAUUUUAAGUAUACAAACUAAAUAAAAGAAUAAUUAGUUCCAUAAUUAAUUAUAUUUAAAUAUAACUAGCAUAACUCAUUGUAUUAUUUUAUUUUUCACUUCGUCUUUCUUCACCAUAAUUGACUUCGGCCCAGAGUGAAGGUAAUUAUGCUGUUUCGGAUAACUUAGGUUUUGAUCCGUAUUUUUAUUACGGCGAAACAAAUAGUAGAAGUAAAUGUUUACGGUCGAAAAUGACUUCACUCCUCUCCGGUUACGCCCAAACAAACAGGCCCUAAAGUGCAAAGGGGCGCUUAAUAACUUUGGGUCAUUUGGUUCGGCGUAAAAUGAACCGAAAAAUUAUUUUCGGUAUGAAAAAUACUCUUAUUUGGUUCAAUGUAAAAAUAUUUUUUUGUUAAAUUUACAAAUUUGAAAAAAAAUUAAAGUUUUUGUUUUUUUAUUGGUUUUUGGCGAAAAAUAAAAAUUCAAGCCGUAUAAAUUUUUUUCAUUCAUUUUUUCCACUUACUACGUUUGGUUCAACAUAAAACUGUAAAAAUUAAUUUUCUAUGGAAAAAAAUUUUCGGUGGAAAUUUUUUUUUAUAUCUUAUAGUAUUUGAUUCGUAAAAAAAAAGAGAUUUUUCAUCAGCAUUUGUUUAGUUGAAAGGCAAAAAAUUCAUAUCUGUUUGGUUUGGUAAAAAAAAGAAAAAAAAAUUUAUGCAGCUUCAGUUUUCGUUUUUCACUGAAAGACAGCGAAAUACGAAAACUUAAAUUUGUCCCCAAAUCUAAAAAUAUUUUUUUCGAAUCAAACAAGAGAAAAAAUAAUUUUCAUUUCAAAAUUAAUUUUUUGGUUCGUUUUAUGGGAAACUAAAUAAAAGUAGAUUUUUUUUUCUUUGGACCAAUUAUGUGAUGAUAAAAAACUUUUUUUUUCCUAUAAAUCAAAAUUAUAAAGCGUAAAUUUUUUUUCACUAAAAUUAUUUUUUAUGAAAAUUAUUUCUCACUAUUUUACGUGAGCCCUCAGCCAAAGAGUCAAAGUUUAAGAGGUGAUUUAAAAAUUUUCCAUUGUUGAGGGGUCUCCAUACAUUUUUACCUAACAAAAAGACAAAAAGAAGAGGCACGAGAGAGAGAGAAGAGACACAAUUCGAAUUAAAGCUUCUCUCUCUCUCUCUCUUUCUCGCUCUGCAUAAUAAAACCCUCUCACUGAAUCCCCCAUUCCAAUUUUUACAGCGAUUUGGAGCUCCUCGAUUCCCCCCUACUUCUCCUCACAGGUAAUAAAUGUCGUCAAAAUCACUUUUUUUUUUUUCUUCCAAUUUUUUACCCAUUUCCAUCCCCCAGUUUGAUCCAAGCUUUGUUUUUUGUUUUUUUUUCGAAUUUUGAUCCAUUUUGUUUGAUAAAGUUUUGAUUUUGGGGGUUUUUUUGUACUGUAUUCGCUCAUUUCACAAUUUCCCCCCCUUUUUGAUUUACCUCAUGAGGGAAAAAUCCGACCUUUUGAGGUUUUAUGUGCUUACAAAUAUUGGCCUUUUUUUAUUUUAUUUUAUUUUAUUUAUUUUUGUAGCGCUUGUUUUGAUUGAUCUGUUGACAAUGUGGUAUAUUAGGAGUACAUUAAAUGCCCACUUAGUCUCUGAAUGAGUUGAUCCUUGCAUUGAUUUGUAAUAAUUGAUUAUUCCAUGAUGCAAUUAAGCUCCUAUUUGUUGUUGUUAUUAUUAUUACUAUUAUUUUAACACAUAAUGCAGUUCAUUUUCAGAUGCAUUUUCUUAAGAUCAAUAAAAAUAAAAUGUUUGAGUUACUGUGAAAUCAGUUGUUGCUGCUUCAAAUUUCCCAAUUAUCUUUUUGAAACUGCUAAAAAUGUACCAAAAUUGUGGAUCUUCUCUUCUAAAAAGAUUUGUAGGGUAAUAUUUUUUUCAAUUAGACUUAAAAUCUACUGAAUAAAAGACCAUUUCUCUUUGAUUAAAGUUGCACAGGCCAUUUGUCGGCUCGGCGCUUAAAAUGUUCAAAAUUAUCGAGCAUCGACAUUCUUGGAAAGGUCUGCAGUUGCUGUAUUGAUGAUUAAUUCAGUAUACAUCUCUUUAGUUCUAGUUAAGUGCCACCGAAAUGAUCCGAAAGGAUAUUUAAUUAAAUAGUCUAGUUCGAGUCGUAGUUAGUUCUUCGUGGUCUUUCAUCUGAAUCUCAGAUCACUUGAUUGUGUAAGUGUUAUCUCAGCUCUAAAAUAAGGCUUUGCAAACAAUAAAUCUUGUCGAAUCUAAGUUGGACAUCUAGGCGAUCACGCAUGAUAAUGAGAUAUGAGAUAAGGGAGAUCCAAUCAACCUUUUUGUUUGUUUUAGGAAAAUAUUCUCUGAAAUAGUUAUUUGUCAUGUAUUUUGUUGUCUCAUUAUGUAGCCGUCGUAUUGCAAUGCUUUGAUAAUCGUAUUCGAGUCUUUCCAUGAGACCCUUGCCUCAAGGAGUAAGAAUAAAUCAUGGAUUUUCCCUUUCGGCCUUAUUUUGUCACAUAUUUCAUAUUAUGGCCUAAAAUAUUUCUUUAUAAUUUCCAAAUUUAACGAUGAAAAUUUGCGAUAAAUUUCCCUACUCAUUUUGAACAGGGCCCUUUAAUCAUUUCUGCUCCUUAUGGCAUCCGCCACUUUUCUCGAUGAUAUGAGAGCUAGCCCGGAGGUUGUUGAGCCAUGUAAAAAUGAAGAGAUAAUGGAUGUCAGCGAACAUGUCAGUGACCAUAUCCAGCAUUCACCGAAGCCAAAUGUAUCUGUUGCUAGCAGCGUCCGCGAACUUUUAGAUUGUCCUGUCUGCCUGAAUGCUAUGUAUCCCCCCAUUCAUCAGGUAACCUUUUUAUUUUCAAUUUUAUUUUAAGCGACUACAAAUACAAUAAUGAGUUGUUGAAGAACAUCUAUAGGCAAUUUCUUGUUUACGAUCCUAGAAACUAAAGCUGGAUGUAGCAAUUUGGCGUACCGUCGUCUAUAGCAUAUUAAAGUUGGAUUUUUGGUGCAAAUUUAUUAUUAAAAUUAGUUAUUGAAGAAUGAAUAGAUGAGGUUUCUUUGAUUCUCGGCAUAAUUCGAUACGAUUCCUUGGAGAUCUUAACAGGGAAUAGUUGAUAUUUCCAUUUGUCGGGGAAAUUUAAUCCAAAUUGCCAACUUACCAUGCGCCGCAUCUUUGCAGCGUUAUUAAUCUCUUAUUUUUAGAGCCUAGAGAAUGCGACCUGUUUCUCUCUUAUCAUCUGUCUUGGAAAGUUUUUAUUUAAUAAAUUAUCAUCAUAAUCUAAUUUUGCUUACCGUAUGGCAAGAUCCAAGAUUAUGCCACGCCUCGAAAACUUUGUCCUGUUACUGUAAUUCCUAGCCGGGAAACAUUAUCUAACGUUCUCUUUGUGUAUGCAGUGUUCGAACGGCCACACAUUAUGCUCGGGGUGCAAGCCACGAGUUCACAACCGUUGCCCGACUUGUAGGCAUGAGCUUGGCAACAUUAGAUGCCUUGCGUUAGAGAAAGUGGCGGCCUCUCUCGAACUCCCCUGCAAAUACCAGAGUUUUGGGUGUAUGGGUAUAUAUCCUUACUACUGCAAACUGAAGCACGAAUCGCAGUGUCAGUAUCGACCCUACAACUGCCCGUAUGCUGGAUCGGAAUGCACUGUCGUCGGCGACAUUCCGUAUUUAGUGACGCACUUAAAGGAUGAUCAUAAGGUCGACAUGCACAACGGGAGCACCUUUAACCAUCGAUAUGUCAAAGCGAACCCUCAUGAGGUCGAGAAUGCAACAUGGAUGCUAACGGUACUGUUCGAACGCAAUUUUUUUUUUUUUUUGGAUGUUCGCAUAUAUGUUGCUCAAAACACAAGGCCCAUAACCGGAAAAGAAACAAAAAGAAGAGACGGGUUUAAUGUGGUUUGGUCGAACUGAUACUACACUCUUUCAUUUCAGUGGAGUUACAGCUGGAUAAAUAGUUACAAAGGGCCACAUUAAACUAUAAACCCUAAACCCUUAGCAACGUCUGCUUAAGCACUGUCCGCUGAAGCAUCAGAGUAGAUGCUUCAGCGAAAGGCCGUUUUGCCGCAUCCUGUUGCACUGCAUAGCACCAGCGAGCACUAUCAAACUUGCCCUUGGUUAAACAGCACAUCUGCAGAAGCUCCUGCUACGCCGAACAGGAUUUAUAGGUAGACACGAGAGCAAACAUUUUUCCGUGCUUUGUUCAUAAAUUUGUUUGAGACUUAUGCCUCUAGUGCGAGGUGAAGUUCCAAACGGAAAUACGCUAUUGAAAUAAUGCCUGUUAACUACUCUUGCGACACGAGGACACGUGGCGUUACGCAAAUUAUGAUAUGACUAAAUGUUAACCAAGGGAAAAGUCAUGUGGCAUGAUCAAACCUAUCUUUUUGUUAGCUCUUCGCGUUGCGUUCUAUACCAUACAUAUGCAAUUACUAGGUUGUUUACUAUUGGCGAAUAUAAUAUAAACACCGUUUUCUGGUAGCUUAAGCUAUAAGAAAACAACGAUUGUUUCAUAGCAGGAGGUCCCGAGUUCGAAAUCCAUAUCAAAAAGCCUCGAGUCCAGACAUGAGAGGGAGUGUUGAAUAUUAAUAUUAAGAAUGCCAUUCUCCGGUAACUUGAGCUUUUGGAAAACACUGAUUGUUUCAUAUAAUUUAACAAAUAUAACUAAAAUCAAGGAUGUAGUGUACUAAUAUAUCUUACAGUAUCUAGAGUUUUAUCCUUUUUUCGGCUUUUCCUUUUUUCGCUUUCCCAUUUUCUCUCAUAUUUUUCUAAUUGAACCACAGUAAUGAAUGUUGCUUUUAUCAAUACAUAUAUAUAUACAUAGGUUUUCAGCUGUUUCGGCCAAUAUUUUUGCCUCCACUUCGAGGCGUUCCAGCUGGGGAUGGCGCCGGUGUACAUCGCAUUCCUCCGGUUCAUGGGGGACGACGUCGAGGCCAAGAACUACAGCUACAGCCUCGAGGUCGGGGGCAACGGCCGGAAGCUGAUCUGGCAGGGGGUUCCCCGCAGCAUCCGCGACAGCCACCGCAAGGUCCGCGACAGCUUCGACGGCCUCAUCAUCCAGCGGAACAUGGCCUUGUUCUUCUCGGGCGGCGACCGGAAGGAGCUGAAGCUGCGGGUCACCGGGAGGAUCUGGAAGGAGCAAUGAGCGAGCCAACUGCUGCUUCUGCGCGAAGCGCUUUUUCGAAACUUUUAACUGUCAGACUUGAUCAGCAGCUGUAUUCUCUGAAAGUACGAAAAUCUGGGGGUGCUGACUGCGAUGUAUAAACCGAACGGCAAUCUCUCUUUGCUUGAUCUCUUAUGAUUGGUUAUCUAAUCUGCUGGUUAUUUGCAAAGUUAGCUACUAACAACAGCAUGUAAUAUGCAUGUUCUAUGUUUUCCGAUUUCGAUGGUGUUUGAUGUCUUCCCUGCGGGGCUGCAGGCAAAUGAGUUCUUGUUCUGUGAGAACAUGUGCAGACUGCGGACUGCAGACUGUGCUGAGAUGUGUUUGGUUCUUCUUAAACCCCAUUCGAAAGCUUUAUUACCAAACUCUGCUGAUUUUUUUUUUUCUGUGGCUUUCUGCAGCUCAUUGUGUGUUGGUUUAAUUGGGAAAUUUUGUUCAGCAUGAAAAGGCCCUUCUCCCCGACGGCGGUGCUUUAAGAGUCGUGCGGGGCGGAGUUCAUGUUUCGUUGGAUUGUUACAUUUUUUUUUUCUUUUUUUUUUUUGAAACAAAAACGAUCUCAUAAAAUCUCUUGCAUCUCUAUAGUACGCUUUAAGAUUCGUGCAAAAGUGGAGUUUAUAGUUCUGUUGAGUGUAACGUUUUUUUUUUUUCUUUGUAACUCUAGAGAUCUCGUAAAAUGUUUUGCAUCUUGAUAGCAGUGUUUUAAGCAUCGUGCGAAGUGGAGUUCAUAUUUGGAAAAAAUUAAAAUAUCGUGAAUACCUUUUUAUAUAUGAAAAACUUUUAAAAAUAAUUUUUAAAAUACUUUUGAAGAUCAAAAUAACUUGAAUAGAGGAAGUAUAACGGUAAGGACAUUUUUGAAAGAAAGUAUGCAUUUGGAGGGAUAAUUAUGAUAUAAUAAAAUUUGUAAGGGUAAAUUAUGGUAUUUUGGAAAUUUAGAGAGGUAAAUGAAAUUAACCCUUCAUAUUUCAUGGAAUGUAACCUUUUUUUUUUUUUUUUAAAUAAAGGAUCUCAUAAAAUCUCUUGCAUCUUUAUAGUAUGCUUUAAGAGUCGUGCAAAGUGGUGUUUAUAUUUUAAUUGAAUGUAACUUUUAUUUUUUCCCCCCUUUUAGAGAUCUCAUAAAUUCCUUCGCAUCUUGGCAGCAGCGCUUUAAGAUUCGUGCGGAGCGGAGUUCAUAUUUCGCCGAAUGUAACAUUUUUUUUUUUUCCAUUUAAGAUCCCGUAGUUUUUUUUUUUUAUUUUUUUUUUUUGCAUCUUUACAGCACUGCUUUAAGAUUCGUGCAGGAUGAAAAUGUGUAUUUUACUGAAUAUUGCAACAGCUGUUGCCGACCAACUCGUUCUCGCGAUACAUCUCACACCCAAACUCGAUCAGCGACGGUCAAUUUUUUUUUUUUUAUUUUUAUUUUUUAUUCUCUCUCUCUCUCUCUCUCUCUCUUUGAUGCAGUGAUAAAAACAAAGGAUUCAAAUUGAAUCAAAUUCUAACGCAAAAGGGUGUUUGCAAUAGAAGCUAACAGUGCAAGGGAGGAUUUUGUAAUUUAGCCUAAUAUUUAUUUAUUGAGUGUAAAUUUGCAGGAAUACAUUUUAAGAUUCAAAGGAACAAGAAUUGAAACAUUAUAAAACUGUUCUAUUAUAUUCUAAGAGUGUAAACUUGCAAUAAAUACUUGCUCAUAUUCAAACGAAUAAAAAUUAAAGCCUGGUAAGACGGUUCUAUUAUACCCUUUUAGAGUGUAAAUUUGUAACGAAUAUAUUUUAAUAUUCAAAUGAAUAAGGUUAGAAACAUCAUAAGACUGUUCUAUCAUUUGGUUUGUGUAUAAGCAAGAACUGCCUAUUCCAGAAAUAGGUAUAAAUUCAGGUAUAACCAAUAAGGAAUAAUUAACUAGACUAAUUUUGUAUUUGAAUAAAAUUUAGGUUGUUUUCGAAAAUAAGAAAGAUAACAUUUGAAUAGAUAAGAUAGAAAAAGAAGGAUAGUGGGUAUUUAUAAAUAAAAAAUAAUGAUAUUACCUAUCACGCCCUGGAUUACACGUUUUCCGGGCACGCCGACAAAUCCGCCGUAUACAAAAGAAUUUUCUCUGUAUACGAAACGAUAGUUGUAUCUGUAAAACAUAAAAUACUACAAACAGUAGUAUAGAGCUGUAAGAAACAAAACAUAACCUGGUAGUAAAUAAAAGUUCUCUAUACAUACAACAUCUGUACACAAAAGCUCGUCUCGCGAGAAACAGAAAUAACGGUAUGUAUAAGAACUCAAAAAUUACAACUACCUGUAUAAGGUACUUCACUAGCUCUGGCUCGUCUGGUAAGGCUCUAAAUCGCGACGCCCUUUGCACGAUCAAUUUCAGAGGGUGUAGCAGCCGGCACCGAAGGCUCUGCAAAACGAAAAGAAACAACAGGGCGUGAGAACUACUGUGAAAAUAAGUAGUCCUCAGUGGGUGCCGCCCUCAAUAUCAUCGGUCCACCCACUAAGUCUACAAAAAGGAGCUGGAAUAGUAGGAAAGCUGGAACUACAUUUACAGCUAGAUGCCACUACACUAUCAUGCUCUAACUCUAACCAUCUGUGGUGAAUGUAAAUCUUGACCCAAUCUAACCAACGACUGUAAUACACCCGUCCCGCCUGUCGAAGCUACACUAACAACCACCACGCUUGGUAGUUAGUGGAGAGCGAGUCUAACCAAGACACAGUGACACCAACGCAAUAGCACUAGGCUCGACUUCAGAGUGGCACUCGUGGGAGCUAUCCAACCGAGUAUGCAAGCGUAUCUCUGUCGAGCUCAAUCAGGCUCUCACAGGCUAUAGUCAAGUAUAGAGGGUCUAACUGGUCUACCAACCAACAAGUCACGUACCCUCAACACAAUCUGAUGCCAAACGGCAAUCCGGGUCCACCGUUAGUCCCAACGGCACCCAACAGUUCGGAACAGUCUGAACUCUACUGUAAAAAUAGGUUCGGCAUCCCAGCACGAGCGUAAAAGUAAACUACACUACCUGGGGUACCCACCACACUGAUACUGCGGCGAUACAAAAUAAUAACAGCUUCUAGAGCUAAAUUUGGUAGUGUAAACAAGUGACAGGUCCAAAUCGCUGGUUUUCUCCUAUGUCAAGUCCAAAUUCAACAUGUAUAAUUAUUAACAAUUGAUAACAUGCUCCAAAUUCAAUUCAUAUAUCUAAAACAUGCAACAACAUGAAUUUGAGCUAAAACGACAGUAUACACACUAAUUAUACAUGUCGACAACGAGACUGUAGGAGUAGGAAUCCGAUGAUGAACCCACCUCAAAAAGCUUGUCCAACCACGCCGAGCCUCCUUCUUCCUCCUCCUUCUCUGUCGGCGCGCCAAAGCGAGACGACGACGGAGGGAUGCGGACUCGGCCCAAAGCCAGUCGGAGUCGCGGGGGAGGAGCGCGGAGAGGUGGGCGGCGCCGCCGAGCCACGUGGCGAGCUCGGGGUUCUCAGCACGGAGGCGCCCGAGUGGAAGGAGGAAGAAAAAAAAAAAUAAUUGCAACUUUCGCCUAAAAAGUGUAAUUUUUGUCACCCCAAAUGGUGUAAAUUUUACCCAAAUAGUGCAACGUUCGUCUAAAGAAUGCAACUCUCGUCCCAAAGAGUGUAAAUUCUGUCUCAAAUAGUAUAAUUUUUAUAUAAAAUGCAAUUUUUUAAAAUACAAUUGCACUCUUUGAGAUAGAACUGUACUGUUUGGGUGAAAUUUACACAAUUUCUCUUUUUUUUUCUUCCUUCUCCUCCUCCUCCUCCUUCAAUGCUCGCCCUAUACAAGAACCCCAACCAUGGCUCGUCUCAUCUCACCACCCCUGUCGCAGCAUCACUCCCCCACCCACUUGGCCUCAAAAUCCAUGCUUUCUACAGAGCGGCCAUGGGAAGCGGCGGAGGAAAAAUGGCGCUCGCCGUGGUGCUCUUCAUGUUGGGGAGCGUCAAGGUGAGCGCGCGGGCGAGGACGGCGCAGGAGAAGGAGGAGGGGGCUGGCAGUGGGUUUGGCCAUGGCGUGGGUGGCAGUAUUGGUGGCGGGAUUGGGUCGGCGGGGAGGCCGCGGUGCAGCAUGUCGUCGAGCAAGGAGGCGGCGGAGCGGGCCUUUCCGCGGCGGCAGAGGGCCUGGGCAAGGGUGCGGUAGGAGGAAGGGUCGGGGGAGAGGCCGAGGCGGGGGAGGCGGGCUCGUCGCCGGCGACGUCGCCGGAGCGGGCAAGGGCGACGUCACCGGGGCAGGGGCGUGGCGUUUCCGCCUUCGCUGCUCUCUAGGAAGAGAAAGAAAAAAAGAACGAGAGAAAAAAAAAAAAGAGGAGAGAGAAAAAAGUACAAGGGUAUUUUGAUCAGUUUGCUGAAAAUCGGACCGAAUCUGCAAAAACGAAAAAUGUGACCCACUUUUGCAAAAGCCCAAAAUUAGUAAAUUUUUUAUACAAAUUGGCCUAUAACAUAUAACUUAUAUUUAUGUAAUUUAGUUUUACUUUAACUUAUAAUUUUAACAAAGUUUGAAAUUAAACAUUGGAAUAACACUAUUCCACAAAAAUGGUGGAAUAAUAAAUUUCAAGCUAUUCUGUGAAAGCCUGAAAUAGCAAGUUUUGACCGAGAUAAAAUAUUCUGGUAAAAAAUCAUCCCGUUUGGCGGAAUAUCGGAGAUAACUUUUGUUAUAUUAUAGUUUCUAUUGCUUGGGCCCCACCAAAAUUUUUUAAUUUAUUAAGACAGUUGUGUUGGGUGCUUGUGGGGACACUGGUGGUCGAUCAACGACCACUCACUCUCAUUCAAUUUUUAUUUAUUUAUUUAUUUUUUUAUUAAUGGGUUAAGUGGAUGGAUAGUGCCUACACUUGUCAUGAAUUGCGAUUUGGUCCUCCAAUUUUCUCACAUUGAUCCGAUUUAUGCAAAAACUAUCAAAACCUUUCCAAAAGUUUAGAGUCUCAACUCAAAAAUUUUAAAAACCACAACAAAACUUAAGAUAGUAUUUUAUUUCAAAAUAAAUACAAUUAAUUCUUAAUUUAUCCACGGUAAAAUAUACGAAGAACCCCUGAAGUAGAUGGGCCCCUCAACUUUGAAUAUUUUUUCUCCAGAUGAUUUAGCUCAUUUUCAUUUUGCCGCUUUUAAUGGUUUUCUCUCUUUUUUUUUUCACUGUAAAACCUUGCCUUUAAAAUUUGAAGUGUAGUUAAAUAAUAGCACAAUCAAGUCCUUUAUUUAUUAGCCGUCGAAUUUAUCUCAAAUUUUAAUCCAUAUCAUCCAUUGGAUUGCGAUUUUUUCGUGGAUUAAUUACACCAUUUGUUUCCAAUCUUUGCACUGUUUUUUAAUUUGAUCCUAAUCUAUUUUUUUGCAAUCAACUUCCUAAUCUCUUAAUUUCAUUAUAUUUAAAUUUCAGUCAUCAGAAAAGUAUUAAAAUUAACGAAAAAUGGCAUGUCAGUUUCGUGUUAACGCCACGGAAGCGCUGUGUCAACGCCAUGAAGGCGCUAUAUCAGCACUAGCUAAUUAUACAAUUUAAAUGUAAAUUUAUAUUUUGAAUUAAAUUAUAAAUUCAAAGCAAGAUUUUUAAUUUAAGAUUUAAAUUUUAAAUUUAAAUUUUGAUUUUGGAUUCAAAUUUAAAUUCAAAUUCAAAUUCAAAUUUUGUAUUUAAUUUUAAAUUCAAUUCACAUUUUGAAUUCUAAUUCCAAUUUAAUUUCAAACUUUGAUUUUGAAUUUCAAAUUCAAAACAUGAAUUUGAAUUCAAAGUUUAAAUUCAAAUUUAGAAUUGAAAUCAAAUCUUAAAUUCAAAUUUAAAUUUUGAAUUCAAAUUUAAAAUCAAAAUUUUGAAUAUGAUUUUAGAUUUAAAUUCAAAUUUUAAACUUAAAUUUCAGUUUCAAAAUUUUUAUUUUAAAUGCAAAUUGAAAUAUCGAAAUCAAAAUCAAAAUUUUAAGUUUGAAUUCAAAAUUUAGAUUCAAUUUAAAAUUGAAUUUCAAUUUCAGCUUUAAAUCAAAAUUGUAGCUUUAAAUUCAAAUUCAAAAUUCUAAUUUCUGGUUAGUUUAAAAUUUUAAUUUUAAUAUUAAAUUUAAAUUUAAAUUUAAAAUUUUGAAUUUUAUUUUCGGGGACUAAAGAGAAAAAUGUGCAAAAUUUAGAGACCGAAAUUAACAUGCAAAAGAAAGCCAAGUAGGUGUUGACGCAGUGAUUCCGUUAAUUUUUACUCAUUUUUUAACGACUGGGACGUAAUUGUAAUAAUAUCAAAAGAUUAGAGACUUGAUUGCAAAAAAUUGUUUAGGGAUCCAAGUAAAAAAAGUAAAAAAAUAGUGCAAAAAUUGGGGACCAAUGAUCUAACUAACCUAAUUUUUUCUGUCUAAAAUAUUAUUGAUUGAGCCUAAAGUACUAGAUAAAUGAAAAUUGAGUGAUUCAUGAUAUAAAAAAGUACGUUUGUAUUUAAUGCAGAUAAUAAAAUUUUUUUUUUCUCUCGAAAAAAGUUUAACGGCUGGUUUUGGCUUCGUUUGGUUCGGGAUUAAGUAAGAACUAGUUAUUUCACGGAUAGGAUUAAGUUCAGGGUUAAGUUUGGAAUAGACCAAUUUUGUGUUUGGAUAAUAAUUGAGUUGUUUUCGGGAAUAAGAAAAAUAAUGUUUUGAUCGAUAAGAUGGAAUAAGAAGAAUAGUGGGUAGUUAUAAAUAGAAACAACUUUAUAUUUAAAUUUAAAUAUUUAAAUUUUAUAAUUAAAAUUUAAAAUUUAAAAUAUAUAACUUUAAAAAUUAAAAAAUUCAAAAUAAAAAUUAAUUUUUUAAAUCUUAAAUUCAAAAAUUUAAAGUUCUAAAUUUUAAAUUUAAGAUUAAAUUUAAAUUUAAAAAUAUCAAAAAUCAAAUUUUAAAUUUAAAAAAUUAAAAAUAAUAAUUUAAAAUUUAAAAUUAUAAAUAUAAAAUUAUAUGUCUCAAUUUUAAGCUUACGAACUCUCUCUCUCUAUAUAUAUAGAGUUGGGCUAGNUCAACUCUCUCUCUCUAUAUAUAUAGAGUUGGGCUAGAAUAUUAUUGAUAGCAAAAGAUCUUUUUUGCUAUCAAGUUUUUAGUUUUUAGAUCAAUUGUUUUCAUCAUUUCUAACCAUUGGAUCAAAUAUUAUAACCCAGUGGGGACAAUUCAACCCUAAGAGACUAAUACAUCAUAAUCCUAUAAUUUUUCAUUCAAGGUUAAAAACUUGAUAGCAAAAAAAAUCUUUUGCUAUCAAUAGUAUUCCAGCCCCCCUCUCUCUCUCUCUCUCUCUCUCUCUCUCUCUCUCUCUAUAUAUAUAUAUAUAUAUAUACUAGUUAAUGCACGUGCGCUGCACGUAUUAAUUUUCAUGUUAAAUAAAAAAUAUACUAAAUUAUUUUAACAUUAAAUUAAAAAUUUAUGUAUAUAUANUCAAAAUGAACAGUAAAAUUGAACAAUCUUUAAAAUUUGAGGAUAGGACUUUUGAAUUUAAGAUAAAGGAUGCUGAUCUUGAUCUAGAGAGUUUAAAGUAUUUUUUAUCAAAAUUUGAAUAAAUUUAGAUUCUUCUAAAUCGUUAAACUACAAACUCCCCAUAGUAGCCAUAAAAAAUUGAGAAGUUUGAAAUGGUAUGAUUAUAAAGUAAACUAUAUUGAAAAAGUAUAAAAUUAUAUUUUUAAAAAUUUUAAAUAUUCUAGAUCAGUUUUAACGGUGUGGAUGUUGAUUUGAAUACUCUAAGAUCGAAAAUGAGACCAUAGUACAGGAGCUUUGGUACUAUCGACAGUAUACGAGGCUAGCUCUCUCGAUAUAUAUAUAUAUAUAUAUAACGUGAAAUUCAUUAGGAUUCUGAUUUGGAUUGAGUAGCGAACAAAAUAUAUAUUCGAAUCCAAAAAUGACGGAUAUUCGUUCUUUAUACCCAUAUCUGAAAUCAUAUUCGUUUGAUUCAAAUUUGGAUUCUGGUUUGGAUUGAGUAACGGACAAAAUAUAUAUAUAUAUAUAUAUAUAUAUAUAUAUAUCCGAACCCGAAUUGUCAGAUAUUCGUUCUUUAUACCCAUAUCCGAAAUCAUAUUUGUCUAACAUCGAUUAAAUUAAAUCUGUCCUAUUGGGUUCGGAUUUGGAUUCGGGUAAAAUUUGGUGUAUGUGUAACUGUUGACAUCUAAAGGAAACCAAUUGUCUUAUCCACCACCACCAAGAAUCAACCAUCCUUUAACCUCCUCUUUUCCAACUUUUGUCCCUUUCCUUUUCUCAUUGGUGUUGAAGGAAAUGGAAACCCACUAAUCAAAAGAAAAAGAAGAAAUUAAUGUAUUAUUUAUUAUAUUUAUUAUAGGUGGAUAGGGUGGUCAACCCAUCAAAAAGUUUCCCUUCUCUCUUUCAUCAUAUAUUAAUUAAUUGAUUAAUCAAUUGGUUAAUUAAUUAUUAAGAUUCAUGCAGUCAUAUGGGUUGAUCACAUUCCCUUUCCAUGGCCUAUUAGCCAAAGGUAAUCUUUUUUAACACAAUUUAAGGGGGCUUUUAUUUUUGUUUUUGUUAUUGUUGUUGUUGUUGUUGGUUUCAUAAUUUUCUCUUAAAGAAUAUCUUUUUUCUUCUUUCUUUAUUUUUUCUUUUUUUUUUUCUUUUUGUUUUCAGGGAGGGGUUGAGGCAAAUGGAAAAGUGGGUUUGGGAGAGGAGGUUGCUGUGAUUUUGGGCAGAGCAUGUAAAUAAAUGAUUACCCAACAGGAGAAUCAUGAGCUCAACAAAUCCUCCAGGUCCUUUUUUUUUAAAAUUUUUCCCCAUAAUUUUUUGAUGUUUUAUGAAUUUUCUUUUAUUUCAUGUUCAAAUUAGGGUCCACUUUUUGUUGUUUUUGAUUUUUUUUUUUUUUUCCAGUUUGGGGGUAAUGGGUUCCAUUGAAUUGUUGUUGUUGCUGUUAAAUGUAUUUUAUUUGUGUCUACAUAUACUUGGAAGAUAUAAAGUUUCUGAUACAUUGGUGUUUUUCUUAAAAAAAACAAAAAAAAUCAUAUCUUACAAAUAAUUGGGUAUCAAUUGUCCAUGCAAGAGAAAAUUGAAACUUGAUCAUCUGUUACAAUCUACUUGAUUAAUUAUAUCCAUGUAAGAUGAUCACCUGAUGUGUAAAUCAAUAGUUUACUGUAAAUUACAUGGAGCAUAAAUUUUACACAGUCAAGUUUCAAUUUUGUUAUGUUCAGCAAUUCAAUGUAUUGCACUGUAUCAAACAUCAUUUCACAAAAACCAUAGAAUCGAGUUUCCGAUUAAAUUUAUAAGUAGGCUAUUUUUUUCAUCUUUUUUUUUUUUGUGUGUGUAUUAAACCUAUUUUGCAUGCAAUAAUAUAUAGCAUUUGUGGCAACAAACUCAUUCUUUUGUUCUGAAAUUUUAGGCUUUUUUCCACUUUAGUAGUUUGUGGUUUGUUCUGGAUUUAAUAAUAUAUAUGGUUGCAAAUUGCAGGUCCCUCUACUCCACCGCAGAGGUUGGAAAAUUUGUUGACCCAACCAGGUAAUCGAGUUUGCGCCGAUUGUGGCUCUCCAGAUCCAAAAUGGGUGUAAGUAUCUGAUCCUGGGAACUUUACUCGAGCCUUUCGUGUUCAAUAUCCUAUUUGCUAUAAUUCUGUGCAUUUUUGGUUAAUAAUAUGUCGUUCAUAUUCUCUGCACGCAUUUGGUGCUAGGAAAUUGAUUAGAACUACUAUUAAGCAUGAUAUACAUGAGUUCAAGAAUCGAUUUUGAUGCUGAACUGCUAAUUUGGCUUUUGUCGCACUAUAAUGCAAAUGCUUUGGAAACAAUAGAUAAUAAUGUAAGAGUUUCAUGUGUGUGCUGAAAAAGUCACCUGAUCUUAAAAUAUACAGAACUAUAAAUUACCGGUACUGUCGCAAGACGGAGUUCAGAAUCAUCUGAUAAUUGUUUCCCCCAACUUCGCUUCACAAUGCACACAAGGAUUCUCUGAUUUGUGUGAGAAUUGAAUUUUUGGCCAAUGUCUGAAUAAGAAUCUUGGCUUUCGUGUGGAUCAUAACUUAGGGAAUCACUUCCGCCUGACGUGCUGUUUUAUUCUUAUUAUUGAAGAUAUGUUUGAAACUCAUCUUCCUCGAAAACAUAGAGUAAACGAGAAACAAGUUAUUUGGCAUACUGAAUUCUUGUUUUAAGUUGCAAAGCAAAUCCGUAGAUGUAUAGCGUGCAAACUAGUGAUCCAUCUAGCGGCAUGCACAUUCAACUGAAUUUGGGUUUAAUAAUGAAAAAGCAGAAGCGUAAUGAAAUGAGGCCUUAAUAUUUCACUAACUGCCUUUGGAUAGGAAGAUGUUUAUAUUUAUUUUCGCCUUCGAUGUAAACAGAUUUGAGUCUUUUCUUUUAAUGUCGUUUUCUACAUUAAUCUAGUGUAUCUAACAUGCUGAUAUCUGAUGAGCACAAAUCACGAUACUUAGGUCACUUAGUCUUGGUGUAUUUAUCUGUAUCAAGUGUUCUGGAGUGCACAGAAGCCUUGGUGUACAUAUAUCUAAGGUAUGAUCUUAAACUGAACUUUGCGUUUUCGUAUCGACUCAUUCCAUUUGCUCGUUUUGCUAUUAAAUUUUUAACAUCCUUUCUUAUCAGUUAUCACUAAUAGUGAUUUGGUAAAAUGGAGUAUUCUUCAGUAAUCUUUUAGCGUUAACUUUGCAUGUUGUGGGAGUGAAGCGACUCAGUGAACUACACCCAGAAUUCACGUAGUACAUCUUCCAAAAUGUUAAAAUCCUAGUUUGAAUUUGUCGGAACCACUUAAAUUGCCAUUCAAAUUUUCAGUUUCACCUGGUUCUGUUCAAUCCGAAAUUGAAGCUCAUUCACUUAAAAUAAUGUUAUGUAAUGAAAGCAGAUUUACUUAUUGAGAACUUCACGCAGAGAAUCGUGAGCGUAAAAUAAUAUAAAGUCUAUCACUUUUCCCUCCGCAGGUCCUCUCAGUGAAGCUAGAUGAGUGGACAGAUGAACAAGUUGAUUCUUUGACCAACGCGGGCGGUAAUGCCACUGUAAACACGAAAUAUGAGGCCUUUUUGCCUGAAAAUUAUAAGAAACCGCGACCAGAUUCUUCAACGGAGGAACGUGCGGAUUUUAUCAGGUAGGAUUCCGUGGAACCAAACGUGAACUUCUCUGGAAGAUUCUCGCAGAAUCAAGAACAAAGUUAACCUUUUUAUUUUGAUAUUCAGGAGAAAGUAUGAGCUGCAACAUUUUUCGAGCUCCAAUGCAAUUAUACUAUCUACAGCGUAUUCCAAUUUCGCCGCACAAAACAACUGUUACAGCGGUAAAAGUUAUGAGAAACAACACACCGGAAUCCGUCAUGGUCUAGGCCAUGCCUUCAGAAACAGCUGGAGACGAAAGGAGUCAGAGAAUAAGGCCGCGAAGAAGAUGGUAUUGUUUACUUACUAUCUUACUGUACUGUACCACUGAAUUAUCACUGCCUCAAAUAAUUGAAGUUUUUGAAGAAAAGCUAGUUUGACUGGAACUGCUUUUAUUGGAGAUUCUACUUUCGGGUAGAAGAGCUCAUUUUAACUUUCUGCUAUAGCAGAAGCCCAAAAUUUCAUUUUAGCUUCAGGCUUCUGCUUUCUAGAGUAGAAAAGUCACUCCAAAAGUUCGGCCAACCAGGUUCUCAAGUUUGCGUCAGUACUGCACUUCAGAUAUCUUGUUUUCUUUCGUAACAGUAUAAUCAUUGUUUUUUUUUUUUUGUAGAUGGGGAUGGUCGAAUUUGUUGGUUUAGUAAAGGUCAACAUAAUAAGGGGGACCAACUUAGCCGUAAGGGAUGUGAUGACUAGCGAUCCUUACGUUAUCCUCAAUCUCGGACACCAAGUAAGCAAAUAUUUUCACCGAUUAAAUCUAAAUAUAUCGGGGUCGCGAAAUGGUUCAGGCUUUUUUUUUUUUUUCCUCCCUCUGUUCCCUUUGCAGUCGAUGAAAACACGCGUGAUAAAGAGCAAUUUGAAUCCAGUGUGGAACGAAAGGCUAAUGUUAUCGAUCCCAGAUCCCAUCCCGCCGCUGAAGCUGGUGAGAGGAUUCACUUAUCGCAGUUCACUUUUUCAACAGUUUAUGUCGACAUGCUUAUCUUUUGAAAUAAUUUUUGAUUGCUUCUCGUCAUGUUGACUUGUAAGUAAGCAAUUGGUUAUUGCGAUUCCACCUACGAAGCAUCGUAGUUGUUUACAUUGCCAUGUAGUUUUGCAAGUUUUAUUCGAUUUGCAAUAACAUACUGCGUAUUUGAUUUCUUUUGUUUUCGAGACUAUCAGAGAUUGGAUCUGCAGUUCCUCGUUGAUUACGAGAUUUUGUGAAUUCGAUUACAUUUCUUGGUGCAGCAAGUGUACGACAAGGACACGUUCUCGACAGAUGAUCGGAUGGGGGAGGCGGAGAUAGACAUCCAGCCGCUGGUUUUUGCGGCAAAAGCCUACGAGAACUCCUCAGCCUUGGACUCGUUGCAGCUCGGGAGAUGGUUGGCCAGCGACGACAGUAAUCUAGUCAAGGACAGUGUCAUCUCUCUCGUGGACGGCAAGAUCAAGCAGGAAAUCACAUUAAGACUUCAGAAUGUCGAGCGAGGCGAGCUGGAGAUCGAGCUCGAGUGCGUCCCUCUCAGCCAAUGAUCAUCACACGACGAAGUACAAACUUUUCGAAUUACUCAUUGAAUCAAGUAUGCAGUUCACGAAACCGAAGGAGAGUGUUGAUUGAUCAGAUACGUUGUAGCCUCGCAUCGACAUUAAAACUAAUGAGAUGGUUCUCUCUUCUGUUUAUAUUUGCGCCAUUUUCGGAUCACAUAUUUGAUACAGUGGUUAGUUGUCAAUGGUAUUUGAUGAUUCAAAGUGCUUUCGCGGCUAUUUAUGCUGUAAGAGGAAGAAGUGUUCAUGACUCAUUUUAACUGAUGCAGUUUUGAGAGCUCCUUUAAGUUGCUUCAUAGUAUUUGAUUACUCCAUCAAGAAUAUUUAAAUCUACAUACUUAGAAAGAAUUAGAUGGUCCCCUUUUUUUUUUUUUCAUGCUAUUGCAGCUUGAAUUCAUAAUCUUUCACUGCAAUUAAGUCCUCAAACCUUAUGUAAUUCAUUUGUUGGAAGGUUUAAUUAUGCGAUAAGUUGUGUACUUGAAUUAAAUGGGAGACAAUUAAUAAUACUAGAUGCUUAAUAGGACUUUACUCGGAGCUCUUGCUCUGAUGUCAUAUUAAAAGAAUAUGAAACAAUUGUUGUUCUUCAGAAGUUUUAACUAUCAGAUAGCGAUGUUUUUAAUAUUUAUAUUCAACAUUACGUACUGCAAAGUGAGACUUAAUCUGGGAUUAUUGUAUUAACAAGAAACAAUAGACUAUAAGAGGAACAAUUAGCGCAAAUUAACAUGUAGAAUUUAAAGACAAAUAAAUCUUCAUUUUGAAUGUUUACAUACUGUAGUCUACAAUGCUGCUAAUGUGCCAUUUAUUAAUGUACUCUUUCCUGUGUUUGAGUAAACUAAUACUUAAAAUAGGAAAACAACAACAUAUCUUUAUUCUUUUUCUCUUUUCCUAUUUGUGAUCUUCUUUUCCUAUUUGUGAUCUUUACUUCUAAACUGUGCUCUCUUUCUCUCUCUCCUUUUUGGCAAUUCCUACUUCACCCACUUUCCCAGUAGGGGUGGGAACAAGCCGAGCUUGAGCGAGCUUAUCUCGACUGAAGUUUGGCUUGAAAUUAAUUUCGAACCUAAAUUUAGGCUCAAGCUCAGCUUGAAAUUAAUUCGAGCCGAGCUUGAUCGAGCCUAACUUCGAGUUGAAUGAGCUCGAGCAUUAAACGAGCCGCUUAAAAUUCUUAACAUCAUGCAAUUUAUAGUUUAAUUUGUAUAAAAACAUUAUCUAAAAUUUGAUACAAAGAAUGUCUAAUAGUUCAACAAACAUACUAAAUGCAUGAAAUAUGAUAUUAUAGUAGGUGAAAAGGAGAGAGAGCAAUUAAAGUAGGGAUUUGCUGAUUCCUUUUGUGGGCCAGCAAAUAUGCCUAAUAACUUAAACUCUAAAUAUAUAUAAUUAAAAUAUCAAUAUAUAUUAUUAUAUAUAAUUAAUAAAUAUAUAUUUAGAGUCCGACUGGGAUACUAUCGAUAACACCAAGGAUUUAGUACUAUCGAAUUUUCCACCGUUAGAUUUAAUCCUUUGAUUAGUUUUAUCCGUUAGAUUAUAUUAUUAAACCAACCACUCACUCAAUCCUAGGAGGCCCACAUCAUCCUAACCAUACAUUUCUUAAUCCAAGGGCUAAAAAACUAAUAGCACUAAUAGCUUGGUGCUAUUGAUAGUAUUUCAGCCUAACUCUCACUCUCUCUCUCUCUCUCUAUAUAUAUAUAUAGAGAGAGAGUCCGGCUACUAUACUAUUAUGAGUACGAUCCUCCUCGUAUUUAUAAAUUGUUUUCGAUGAUAGAGCUUACGAAUCGACGAUCCACACCGUUAAACAUUAUCUAGAACAUUUGAAACAUCUAAAAAUCAAAUUUCAUAAUUUUUCGACAUAAUUUACCUUACGAUCAAAAGCUCACGAAAUUAACAAUUUUUAACGGCCGGUAUGGAAUACUUGCUAGUUUAACGGUGCAAAAGAAUCCGAAUAGGUUGAAUUUUUGAUAGAAAAUUUUAUUCACUACCUAGAUAAAGAUCAAUAACUCCGAUCUUAAAUUGAAGGAUCCGAUUAUUCAUUUUUAAGACAUCGUUCGAUUUUGACCGUUCAUUUUAUGCCCGCUUGAUGGACUUUAUUAUGAUUUCGAAAAAUUACGAAAUUUAUUUUCUAGAAGUUUCAAAUACUCUAGAUCAUAUUUAAUGGAGUGAAUCGUCGAUUCGGAAGCUCUAUCAUUGAAAACAACUUAUGAGUACGAAGGGCCCAAUACUCAUAAUAGUAUAGUAGCCCUACUAUAUAUAUAUAUAUAUAGAAUUAGGCUAAUUUACUAUUAAUAGUAUCAAGCACUUUAUGCUAUUAAGUUUUCGGCUCUUGGAUGAAGGGAUAUGCAGUUAGGAUGAUAGUGAUCCUCUAGGAUUGAGUAGGUGGUUGAUUGAAUAGUAUGAUCUAAGAAUGUAGAAAUGGUCAAAUGAAUAGAUCUAACGGCAGAAAACUCGAUAGCACCAAGCACUUGAUACUAUUGAUAGCAUCGAAGCUUUUCGAGCCCAAUUCGAGCGAGCCCAGUAAUACUCAAGCUCGACUUGAAAUAUAUUUCGAGUUUUAUUUUCUGUUCAAGCUCGGCUCAUUUAAUUUCAAGUCGAGCUCGAGCGAGCUGAAUAUUGAGCCGAACGCGAAACAGACACGAGCCGGCUCAUUCAUUUGCCAGCCUUACUUUCCACUCUUUGAUGCUUCACCUUCCCAUCUCACCUUCCCAUCUCUAUCUCUGCACGAUGCUUCGUCUUCCACCCACUCACUUUUUAAUUAAUAUAUUCAUAUAAUUCAUUUUCAUCUAAAGAAAUUAUUUAAAAAAAAAAAUAAAAAUAAGAUCUCUUCGUACUCUUUUUUAUCACAUAUUUUUCUUUUUUCUUUCUUGUUCACAAGAAGGGUUCAUUUUUUAUAUUUUUCUUUAUUAUUUUUUUUUUUUAAAUUGUGUAGGUAUUGAAAUUAGGUUACUGCGAUAAAUUUAAAGUCAAUGAGGGAAAAGAAGCGGUGGGUGUGGGGGGAUCCGUACGACAUUGACAUGACCGUAACUAAAGAGAAGCUCGACGCCGACAACGACGGUGAGGUGACGUGGAGAACGCGAAUCGCCUCUUCAAUCUCAGCAGCGUGAUCAAGGUGCGUGUGAACUAAUAAUUUUAUUACUGCUUCUUUCAUUAUUGUUAUGUGUAAUUUAUUUAUUAUUAUAGAUUUUGCAAUAUUUACACAUAUAUGUUUUAUAUUUUUUAUUUAUAUUUAUUGACGCCUUAUGACAAAUUAAAAAAAUUUAAAAUUCUAAUUUUGUCAAUCUUAUAUCUUCUAUAGUAUUAGCCCACCAUAAUACGCGAGUAACUUCACUAGCAUCUUCAUUAAAAAGCAUGAUUCCUCAUGAAACAUCUCAUAUGCAUCCCUUAAAUGCUAUAACAAUAUCUUAAUGACAAUUUGUACAUUCAAUCAACCCACCACCCACAAUUUGUUCAUUCAAUCAACCCACCACCCAAAAUAACAAAGAGAGAGAGAGAGAGAGAGAGAGAGAGAGAGAGAGAGAGAGAGAGAGAGAGAAAGGAGGGGAAAUAAAUGGUGCCAACAUUGAUUGACAUGUUACCAGAAUCAUCAUAGACACUAUAAAAAUAACACAUCCACUUCAACAAAAUACACUGCAUUUGUUUAUUUGAUUAGCUAGCCCCACCACUAAACAUUGCCAACACCAUCAUCAUGUGUUAACUUUACACCUAAUUCACACCACUGGGGAAAAAGAUAGGUUUGCUUUUUUCUUUCUUAUUUUUGUGUAUAUCACUUGUAGCAUCAUCAUAAUCAUUAUGACCAAUGCAUGUUUUGAUGUUCCCAUAAACAAAGAAACAUUUAAGGGACCAAUGCAUGUUUUGAUGUUCCUAUAAACAAAGAAACAAUUAAGGAUUGAGUAAGCAUGCUUUUUCAUAUUAUUCAAAUGUCUUAAUUAUGCUCCAUUUGUUACAUUACAUAUGGUAAAAAAGUACGAUCCGUAAGAAACAUCAUGCUGCAUAUAUCGCAAUGAAUCGGUUAAAAUAUAUAUAUUCUAAUUUUUGCAGUCUCACAAGAAAACAAGUGAUCCUUAAUACUAAAUGAGCAAUUAGAUAUUCAGAGUUUAAAGAUUACCAGGAAAAAUAACCCAUCUUAUAAUAUCAUAAAAAAAGUUUAGCACACCUGGAAUUCACCGUCGCAUAAUUUUAUUUGAGACAUGAUUUUGAUUCUGCUGAAACAAAAUAACCAACAUAAAAUUAAUGGAUUAAUGGUAGGUUACAAAAGGCCAAUAAGAUCACAAACCAACUCAAAAUACAUAUACAAGCCAAAAAUAGAGCAAUAAUCCCUUCAUGUCAUUUGUAACCUAUUGUCAGUGUGUUCUAACAAUAUAACAAAACAAUAACUACAAAAUAAUUGAGCGCAAAUAGUUAUGUGCGACAAAUAAAAGCAGAGGUGGUAAAGUGACUAAAUCAAAAAAAAGGGUGUCUGAGGCUUCUCCUUAAAGCAAUUCUUUGUACAUGAAAAGUAGUGCUAAGUUUAGCCCAUCUUCAAAUUAUCACUACUGAAGGUAAAAUUCUCAAAAAAUAAAAAACAAUUAAGUUGGAACUGAAUUAAAGUGAAUCAGAAAACAACAGUGCAUAUAUAAUACAUGAAACAACAUUGCUCUUUUAAAAGAAAUUCCAUAACAGUGGAUCAGGAAACAUCAAGUUCUCGUGUGAGCCCCUCGCAUGCUAGAAUAACUUGCUCGGCAUAUCUCCUCCCCUUUAUGUUACAAUCUUAAAGUGACUAUGAAGGAAUAAAGCACCCUCAGAAACCAUGAUAAUUAGAAACUCGCAAAGUACUAAAAUAAAACUCUAAUGUUAAAAACAAAAAAGAAAAAGAAAAAAAUAAAGAGAGAAAGAGAAAGAAAGAAAACCAUCCAACACAAGUUAUUACUAUAUAACUUGUUUUGGCAUCAAAGAGGCCCUAAACUUCGAAAUCGAACAUAUGAUCACAGAACUACCUCCUAAAUCCUCGGUCAUCAACAAUCCAACGUGCACCAAUGGAACUUAGAUAAGUCGCAAACCCACUACAGAAUUCAUAGACCAUCUACAUACAAACAAAAUGAAAUAAUGAGAGCAUAUAAUUAUGCAUCAUCGUGCAAAAACUGGAAGUUUCAACACUGCAAAUCAAAACAGCCAUCACCCUCGAAGAAUCCACGAGAAGCAUUUGCGAAACCUUUACUUAUCAUUCAUUUACAUUGGAAUAGUAAAGAUCAAGAGAGCUUGUAAAAUCAGAAUAUAUAGUCAAAUACAUGAAAAUGUCAAUGCCCUCCCACAUGCAUUGAGGAGCGAGAAUAUCUAAAAUAGAAUAUAUAAAGUACAUAAUUUGAUUUCAUGACCAAGUAUGUGAAGAUCAAAAUUUAAGGGGACAAACAAUAAAAAUAAAUAUUUUGAUUUCAUGAUCAAGUAUGCCAAGACAACUUUGAGAGAAAACAUAUAAAAUACGUAUUUUAAUUUCAUGACUAAGUAGGCAGGUAUGUCAAGGUCAAAAUUUAAGGGAAAAAACAUAUAAAAAUAUAGAAUUUGAUUCCAUGACCAAGUACAUCUUCAAUAAACUCGGGCAUUGAUGAAAUUAUCCAUCCAAGAACUGUUGCAUGCUAUAAUAAGUUACGAAAGAUCUAUCAACUGUUCCACCAAUAGGAAUAUAUAGCUUUGACAAUGAAUGAAGUUAACUAAAAUUAAACUAACAGCAUAAGCAACUUGCUUUUCUCUCAGAAGAAGAAACGCGGACCAAAUUGCUUAUACUCAAAGUUUCAUGUAGCCGACAGAAGUAAGACAGAAUAUCUCCAAGGGAAAGAUAAGAGAUAAUAUUAAUUAAAAAAAAAAGCCAGAAAUACCAAAAGGAAAUUCUGAGCAUAUUUCAAAAGUUGUUGGGUUUAUAAACCUUUCAUAUCAGACUGAAAAGCAAAAUGGCAAUUGAAUGCUACAGAUACACAUCAAUAAUGAUAACAAAAGGAUACAAACGCCUCACCUCUAUCAUCCACAAUAUUUAAUCAAUGAAUUGGGAGUCUGGGAUAUGAUUAACUAAAAGCCAAAACUCCGACAAAUGAUCUUCUGUGUUCUAAUAAUGCUUAUAAGUCACAACAAAGAUCCUUUAUGUGCGGUCCCUCACUUUUGCUUCUUCACAUAGAUAAAGAACACCAAACUUACUCCAUUUCCAUGUCAAUUCAUGUUGUUAAAAACCAGUAAACUUCCCAACUAAAAAUUGCAUAAAGAAAACACUUGAUAUCAACAUCAAACAGCUCACACGGGUAACAAAACUUAUCCCCUCAGUCAAUGUAUCUAUCAAAGUUUAACUCUAGGGCGUUAAUUAGGAAGUAGCACCUAUAUAAUUAGAGAUUUUUUCAGUUUUUUGUUUUUAAUGACCCAACUCAUUGCGAAAAAAAUAUUGGACAAAACUUUUACUUCCAUGGCAUCAUUCUAUAACAUCAUUCUAUGCUAGCACCUGAUUUUAUUUCUUUUAAUGCUCAAGUCCUCUGUAUUAGUUCUCUGCAAUUGGUUAUUGUGUAUAUUCUUCUAAUAGAUGAAGAGUGUUCAUGUGCAUCGAUAUUUUGCUGUUCUUAUAAGGAAUUCAAUAAGAGUUUGAUCAUUUGGUGUACAGAGAACUCCUAACAAUGAGUAUUUAGUUAAUCAUCUUCAACCUAGAGCCAUAUUGCCAUAUAACUAAUACCGGAACUUAAUAGUUAUCAGCUAUGCAGGCAAUAAUUGAAGAUGAACAUCGGUUACGACUAAUACCGGAACUCCCGCCUCACAAAAGGAGAUAUGUAUCAUCGUUCCUCGCAGGCUUGAGAAAAGUAUAACAAUAUGAAAUCACCUCGAAGGUAAUCCAAUAGAAAUCCUACUGAAAAGAAGCAACAAUAGAUCAACUAAAUGCUUUAUUCCGGUAAGUCAAAUGCAGCAUUCUCAGCAAAAGCCCAACAUACACCUACUUCAACUAAUCCAACAAUGUUACAACUCGAUAUUACUAAAUUUUGUACCUAUAACCACCUGAAGACCAAUUUAAUUUGUUGAGCAGCAAAAAUCAUUAAAGAUACACCCUAAGCUGUUGCAUGAUUGCAUCCACAAAGCAUGAAAGGAAACACCAUUUUGUCAAGUUAUUCAAUCAAAUCAUGGGAAGAGAAUGUUUAAAGAGAAAUGAAAUAUUCAGAAGAAACAAUCAACUCAAUCUCAAUAUUUACAUUGACAUAGUAAUUACUGUACCGUAUCUUUACACAAGCAAUCUUACACUUUCAUUUUUUGCCAUCACCACACACUAUCAGGGGGGAAAAGAACCCAAAUUGUUCUUUUCUCCUCCUCUCAAUCACCAAAGAAGGUUUUUUUUUUUUUUUUUUUUUUUUUUUUUUCUGUGAUACCAAAUUAAUACACAAAACCACAACAACGCAAUCAACAACCGCUCAAUUACACUCAAAUUAACCCCAAAUCAAAAAAGAAAAAGAUCAAAAAAGGAAAAAAAAUUCCUUGUUUUAAUCAGAAUUCUUGAUUUUGAGGAUCAAUAGGAGCAGCAGUGAGGGCACCGUACCAGGCCGUUCUCGUUGCAGGCGUCGCACCGGCGCAUGCGGCCCUCGGCCUCGUCGAAGAGCUUGCGGCUGCCGCAGCAGCGGGGGCAGGGGGCGAAGCGGACGCCGCCGCACGCGGAGCAGACGUGGGCGGGGUCCUGGCCGUCGGCGCCGCCGAUGAGGCGGCCGCCGACGAAGAGCUGGGGGAUGGAGAAGGGGCGGGAGCGGGCGGCGAGGAGCCCCUGGAGCUCGCGGCGGAAGGCGGCGUCCAUGGAGACGUCGCGCUCGUCGACGGCGACGCGGAAGCCGCGUAGGAUGGCGCGCACGGUGGAGCAGUCCUCGUGGGUGCGGCGGACGCCGCGGAGCGAGGUGGAGUAGAGGACGACGCGGCGGGGCCGGGGGCGGGGGUCGUCGGAGAAGGGGCGGCGGAGUGCCUUCGAGGGGGAGGAGAGGGGCCGGUGCUGAGGGUGGUGGUGGUACGUGAGCGACCGCGUGAAGAAGUAGGGUUUCUUGUUUCCGCCGCCGCCGCAUCCUCCGCCGCCGCCUCCGCCUCCGCCGCCGUCCAUGGAGAGGAUCGCCGGAGGGGUUGGGGUGGUGGAUCGGAGGCGCGGCCCUUCUAGGGUUAGGGUUUGGAGGAGACGAUCGGAGGAGGAGGAGGAGGAGGAGGAGAGAGAGAGAACGUACAACGAACAAAGGGCGCAAAUGGGGGGAUCGCUUUGUUACUCUUAUAUUUUUAUUUUAUUUUAUUUUUUUUAUUUAUAUACUUUAUAGUAUGAAUGCGCGUGCAAUGCACUUUUCGUUUUGUAUUAUGAAAUUGAAAAAAGGGUUAAAUAUAUAGAUGUUUAUGUAAACAUAAUGAAUUACAAAUAUAUUUUUAUAAAAUUUAAUUUUUAUAUAGUAUUUAUGUAAAAAUUCUAAUAUUUUUAAAUAUAUCAUUUUGAUUUGUUACUGUUUGAGAACCGUUUAUAUUUUAACAAUAAAUAAGUAAAAUGUCAAUUUUGCCAUCAUAAAUAUGUCCCUUCAAAAAUUACAACAGUAUAAUAUAAAGAGGGUAAAAAUAUUAGGUUAUCUUAUAAACUAAUCAGGGUUAAAUAUUUAAUCUAUAGUUAACUAAAUUUUUUUAACUGAUUUCAAUGGUAAGGAUAUAUUUGAAAACAUUUAAGACUUUUGUAAGAACAAUAUGUAAAAAUUAAAUUUUAUAGGAAUAUAUUUGUAAUUUACUAUAUUUCUAGAGACCUGUAUGCAAUUAACCCUAAAAAAAUUAAUAAAUAAUAAAUUUAUUUUAUUUUAUUUAAUAUCUAAUUUAAUAGAAAAAUAAAAAGAAUUGCAACAGAUUUAGAUAAAGUCAGUUUAUCUAUUAAUGUUAAAUUAACUAAAGGCUAAAUUGUAGAAAAAUUUUUGACAAAAUCUAUUUUUUGAUUUGACCCCGCUGUUAUUUAAAGACAUACACUUUGGCUUUUUAAAAAAUAAAAAAAUAUCCUUCUUAGCAGCGCCAUCUUCCUGCUCAUAGACGAUGUUGUUAGCCGUGCCCCCUCACCCUCCUCCGCCGCCUCACCCUCGUCCAUCCCUCCGUCCACGCCCACGUCUAUGCCCUCGCCUCCUCCGUCGUCUCACCCUCGCCCACCCUCUGUCCACGCCCAUCCGAUCUAUUCUCACUGCCGUCGAAUGAAGAGGCGGCGUCGGGAGUGCAAGAGGUGCAAAGAGAGCAGGUGGAGUCAGCGAAGUUGGAGUUGGGGUCGAGGGAGGCACAAAGGACAGGUGGAGAAAUUGCGGAUGAACGAGGGUUGGAGAGGAGACGAAGAUGGAGAGGAUAUUUUAGUCAUUUUAUCAAUACAUUUAACACUGUACUCUCUGUGAAUAUUUUUUAUUUUUAAGAAAAUAAAGUGUAGAUUUUUAAAUGACAGACGAGACAAAAGUAAAAAAGUGAAUUUUUACGGGGAUUUCUGUAAUUUAGACUUAACACUGAAAUCUUAGACCUCGUUUGGUAUUAUUGUUAUUUUUUAAAAAUAUUAAUUUUACAUAAUUAGUUAUAAUGAUAGGAGAUAUUUUUAUUUUUAUUGUUACUAUUGAUUAGCUUGUAAUGUAU
rnacentral:lncRNA from 1 species